UCCGCUGCUGCCGCUCCUUGGCCGCCUCCAUCGCCGUAUGUACCCUUGGCUUGAUUCGCUGCUCGCGGUUGUUCCCUCCCUUUCUCGUGGACUUUUACUGUUAAUAGCUAGUAGGCGCGCUUGCCCGAUGUUCUGUGAUCCGACACGACGUGAUCGCGCCUUCAUUUAUAAAGGGUCGUCACGUGACGUGAGUAAGGAUAGAGCCGGGCGCUAUGGCCAGCUCGCCGGUUCAGGCAGCGGCGUGGCGGGCAGAGAAGUGCCCUCCUUGCACACGUGCCAAACAAAGCCACAAAGGAUGGGAACACGAAUCGCUCGUUCUCAUAGGUUAUUUUUCAGUGGUUUUUUUUAUUAAAUACUCCACCAUAUAAGCGAGUAUAGUGACGUAACAAUAAUUUAAUUAAAAAAGAUAGUAAGAGUUUCAUACUGUCCGGUACCAUAAUUAGGGGUACCCCCAACGCUCCUAAUCACGGCUGGUUAACACCCUCAGACCAACUGACGGGUGCGGUUUCAAGCCAAGACUUCGUCUACUCGAAGGACGCGAUCUUACCCGAGUCCAGCCUCGGGUAGGAACAGCGGUUCCAGACGAAUUCACGCCUCGCCCGAGGGCCUCCUCAGGCGGCAGGCGCCCCCUCGGCUCUCCCGAGGCCCGGCUCGGGCAGGCUUCGUCGAGAAACAACCUUGGCCAUACCGCCUCACCAACCGACCGCUUCGUAGGCGCAUUAAAUGCGGGGGAUGUCUGACGCCGUAUCCUGAUACACGCGCCUCAGUCGAUCAGGCCGAAGUGACCGCAGUCACUUCGCCCCUCCUCUUUUCUGUCCGAUAUGACAGGAAAACAGCGUCGUCCGCUCCGCUCCGACUGCUGUGUCAGCCACCCCAGCAACGACUGACAACAAGUCACGAUCAACCACCAAGCUCAAGCCUCGGGCGCAACAGGAAGCUCCGCCUCGCCCGACCUCAGGCUCCGGCCUCGGGAGGAGGUCUCCGCCUCGCCCGACCCCUGAGCUCGGCCUCGACUCCGGUCUCGGGAGGAAUCACAUCCUCGCCCGACCCCGGCCUCGACCACAAGCGAAGUCUCCGCCUCGACCGAUCCCGGGCUCGGACUGACCGUGCUGAUAGGGAUGCAUCAUUCCCCUACUCCUAGCCUGCUCAGGCUACAAGGAACAAGACCGGCGUCCCAUCUGAUUUACCCCGGCGACGGGUAAUGAUGGUGCCCCGCGUGCGCCAUGACGCCGGUGGCUCUCAGCCCCUUACGACAGCAAGGAGACGUGAGCAGGGUCCUCGCCGCGCUACCAGCUGUGCUCCUACAGGACUCAAGCGCUCCUCCGGCGGCCACGCCAUCACAUGUACAGCGCCCAAGCUCUCCCCCGACAGCCACGUUGGCAUGUACACAGGGCUUAGGCACUCCACUGCCGGACACGUUAGCGCAUAGCUACGCCCCCCGUUGUACACCUGGACUCUCUCCUUGCCUCUAUAAAGGGGAGUCCAGGGCCACCCUGAAAGAGGUUCGGGGGGUUCGCGCGAGGGGAAGCGGCGUACGAGCCCACUCUCUCUCUCUCCCUCACGCGACGCGCUUGUAACCCCUACUGCGAGCGGCACCCCUGGUGCAGGAUAAUACAAGGCUUGUUCCACAUCUUGUGUUCCAUCCCGCGCCAACCCAUCUGGGUAGGGACACGCAGUGACAAUUCACUCGUCGGUCCAGGGACCCCCCGGGGUCGAAACGCCGACAGUUGGCGCGCCAGGUAGGGGCCUGCUGCGUGUUAACGAACACCUUCCCGUUGAGAUCCAGAUGGGGAGUCUUCAGCAACCUCUCCAGCCCGGGACGGUGCUCCGCUUCGGGAGUCUUGAGUUCAUGUCCCUCGACGGCAGCUACGACAUGGUACUCCUUCCCCCGCGGCGUGACGAUAACGACGGUCUUCGACUCGCACGAUGACGACGAGCUCUACGACAACAUCUCCCCGCGGCAAAAGAGGAGCGCUCCGGUCGUCCCCGCCACCCUCCCCGUCGGAGGAGGCGGAGACGGGGCAACCAUGGCCACGUAGGAGGCGACACCUUGUCGGCUGUCGCACCAGAGCGAGUCGACGGCGCCGGCAUUCCCCCACGGGACAUGUCGGACAUUGCCCUCGCACCUGAGGCGACGGCAGGUGUCACUUCCCCACGACGUGUCAGCCCCAAGCGGACUGAUGACGCCAGCACCCUCACGAAGGACCUGCUGGGCGUUACCCUCGUACAUGAGUUGACAGUGUGCACCGUCCCCGACGCGACUUCACCACCGUCCAACGACCAAGAGGUACCAUUCGUUUUCCAUCCCAUACCUUUUUGGUUCAGCUUCGAUCCACCUAGCGACCCCGCAAUGGUGAGCGCCUUCAUAAAGGCGUAUCCAAACCUUCCGGGGUACCACAUGUGGUCGACCUGGGACCGACUGACAGCCGUCUCGACCUUCGGACCGGCGGGUUCUGAGGAGGAGGACAUCUCCGACUCCGGUUGGGAUUUCUCUGCCCUCAAUGACCCUGGUGCCAUGCGGAGCUUCAUGUCCGCAUGCGACCACUACCUCUCCGGUUGUUCUGACGAUGGCCAUGACCUUGACGACGAAGGUUACGGCCCAAGUCGCGAAUGCUUCCACGUCGAUCUGGGGGAUCACAACGAAGGCAACCACCUCGGUAUGCUAGAGGUUGACGAUCCCCCUGGGCCAUCAUCUCGCGUUGACAUCCUGCGGGAGCUAGCUAUCGUCCCAGUCCCUGCGGGGGGUCAGGACAUACAGCUCGAGCAAAUCCGUGAGAUGCAGGCCCGGGUCGACGGGGAAGCAGACCAACUUGUGCAGCUCCGACAGAGCAUCGAACAGGAGUGGGCAGGCCGAUCACUCGCCGGAGAAGCCUGUCACCGGGCCCAAGACAUCUGGCACCGCAUCGUCGACAAUGCUAGGACAGCGCUGCCUCAGGCCGUCAGCGGGUCCGGCCAGGACCUAGCUGCAGCGGCGAUGCUGCUUCGGGCCAUGCUGGAGCCAUCCACCACCGAGGGACGACGCAUCUAGGGCGAACUCAAGAAUCUUCUAGAGGGCGCCGUGGUUCGACGAGCCGAAAGCUCCGCCUCCCGUAGGCGAGCUGACCCCUCGGAGCAUCGUGCGGUGUCCUCCUGGCGCAUUCGGGAAGCCUCGGUCUGUCCCGAGCGUACACAGGAUGAGGCGCCCAUCACCCGGGAACGCCUCGGCAACGAGCACCACCAUCUCGACCAUCGAGCCCGCCUCGACGAGAAGGUGUACCGAGGCUACCAUCCCAGGCGCGGGGGACGCUGCAACAGCGAGGAGGACCACAGUCCUUCGCUCGAACCACCCGGCCCGCGAGCCUUCAGCCGGGCCAUACGACGAGCACCGUUCCCUGCCCGUUUCCGAGCCCUGACUACUAUCACCAAGCACUCGGGGGAGACGAGGCCAGAGCUGUGGCUCGCGGACUACCGACUGGCCUGCCAGUUAGGAGGGGCGGAUGAUGACAACCACAUCAUCCGUAAUCUACCCCUUUUCCUCUCCAAUGCCGCCCGAGCCUGGCUGGAGCAUCUGCCUCCUGCGCAGAUCUCCGACUGGGACGAUCUGGUCAAAGCUUUCGCGGGGAACUUCCAAGGCACGUAUGUGCGCCCUGGGAACUCGUGGGACCCCCGAAGCUGCCGCCAGCAGCCCGGGGAGUCCCUCUGAGAGUACAUCCGGUGGUUUUCGAAGCAGCGCACCGAGCUGCCCAACGUCACUGACUCGGAUGUCAUCGGGGCUUUCCUUGCCGGCACCACUUGCCGGGACCUGGUGAGCAAACUGGGGCGCAAGACCCCCACCCGCGCGAGCGAACUGAUGGACGUCACCACCAAGUUCGCCUCGUGUCAAGAGGCGGUCGAAGCCAUCUUCCGGAAGGACAAGCAGCCUCAGGUCGAACCGAAGACAGAUGCCUCUGAGGUGUUCGCCCAGCGGGGCACGAAGAAGAAGGCCAAAAACAAGUCGCGAGCGAAGCGCGACGCCGCAGACGCGAAUCUAGUCGCUGCGGCCGAGCACAGGAACCCUCGGAAGCCACCUAGAGGGACCGGCGCGUUCGACAAGAUGCUCAAAGAGCCGUGCCCCUAUCACCAGGGGCCCGUCAAGCACACCCUCGAAGAAUGUAUCAUGCUCCGACGCCACUUCCAUAAGACCGGGCCCCCGGCGGAGGAUGGCAGGGGCCAUGACAACGACAAGAAGGAGGGCGACAAGGAAGAGGGAUUCCCGGAAGUCCAUAACUGCUUCAUGAUCUACGGCGGGCAGGUGGCGAAUGCCUCGGCUCGGCACCACAAGCAGGAGCGCCGGGAGGUCUGCUUGGUGAAGGUGGCGGCGCCAGUCUACCUAGACUGGCUCGACAAGCCAAUCACCUUCGACCAAGGCGACCACCUCGACUUCGUGCCGGGCCCGAGAAGGUAUCCGCUCGUCGUCGAUCCGAUCAUCGGCAACGUUAGGCUCUCCAAGGUCCUCAUGGACGGAGGCAGCAGCCUUAACAUCAUCUACGCCGAGACCCUAGAACUCUUAGGGGUUGAUCGAUCCGAAGUCCGGGCCGGUGCGGCACCCUUCCAUGGGAUUGCGCCCGGGAAGCGAAUCCAACCCCUCGGAUGAAUCGAUUUACCCGUCUGCUUCGGAACUCCUUCAAACUUCCGAAGGGAAGCUCUCACCGUUGAGGUCGUCGGGUUCUGAGGAACCUACCAUGCGGUGUUGGGAAGGCCAUGCUAUGCCAAGUUUAUGGCCGUCCCCAACUACACCUACCUCAAGCUCAAGAUGCCGGGCCCGAAUGGGAUCAUCACUAUCGGGUCCACGUACCGCCACGCGUACGAAUGCGACAUGGAGUGCGUGGAGUACGCCGAGGCUCUCGCCGAGUCCGAGGCCCUCAUCGCCGACCUUGAACGCCUCUCCAAGGAGGCGCCCGACGCGAAGCGGCACGCCGGCAACUUCGAACCGGUUGAGGCGGUCAAGUCCGUCUCUCUCGAUCCCAGCAACGACGCCAGCAAGCAAGUUCGGAUCGGCUCCGAGCUCGACCCCAAACAGGAAGCAGUGCUCGUCGACUUUCUCCGCGCAAACGCCGAAGUCUUUGCGUGGAGUCCCUCGGACAUGCCAGGCAUACCGAGGGAUGUCGCCGAGCACUCACUGGAUAUCAGAGCUGGAGCCCGACCCGUGAAGCAAACCCUGCGCCAUUUCGACGAGGAGAAGCGCAGGGCCAUAGGCGAAGAGAUCCACAAGCUACUCGCGGCAGGGUUCAUCAAAGAGGUAUUCCAUCCCGAAUGGUUAGCUAACCCUGUUCUUGUAAGGAAGAAGGAUGGGAAAUUAAGGAUGUGUGUAGACUACACUGGUCUAAACAAAGCAUGUCCGAAAGUUCCCUACCCUCUACCUCGCAUCGAUCAAAUCGUGGACUCCACAGCUGGGUGCGAAACCCUGUCAUUCCUCGAUGCCUACUCAGGCUAUCACCAAAUCAAGAUGAAAGAGUCCGACCAGUUCGCGACUUCUUUCAUCACACCUUUUGGCAUGUACUGUUACACCACAAUGCCAUUCGGGUUGAGGAAUGCAGGCGCCACUUACCAGAGGUGCAUGAACCACGUGUUUGGAGGACACAUCGGCAGAACGGUCGAGGCUUACGUCGACGACAUCGUUGUCAAGACGAAGAGAGCCUCCGACAUCCUCUCCGACCUUGAAAUGACAUUCAAGUGUCUGAGAGCGAAAGGCAUGAAACUCAAUCCUGAGAAGUGUGUCUUCGGAGUCCCCCGAGGCAUGCUCCUUGGGUUCAUCGUCACCGAGCGGAGCAUCGAGGCCAACCCAGAGAAAAUCAUGGCCAUCACCAGCAUGGGACCGAUCAAAGAUUUGAAAGGAGUACAGAGGGUCAUGGGAUGCCUUGCGGCUCUAAGCCGCUUCAUCUCAUGCCUCGGCGAGAAAGGCUUGCCUCUGUACUGCCUCUUAAGGAAGGCCGAGUGCUUCACUUGGACCCCCAAGGCCGAGGAAGCUCUCGAAAACCUUAAGGCGCUCCUUACGAAAACACCCAUCCUGGUGCCUCCCGCCACAGGAGAAGCCCUCUUGAUCUACGUAGCCGCGACUACUCAGGUGGUCAGCGCCGCGAUCAUAGUCAAGAGACGAGAAGAAGGGCAUGCACUGCCCAUCCAGAGGCCGGUCUACUUCAUCAGUGAAGUACUUUCCGAGACCAAAGCUCGCUACCCACAGAUCCAGAAGCUGCUCUACGCAGUGGUCCUGACACGACGAAAGUUGCGGCACUACUUCGAGUCUCAUCCGGUAACUGUGGUGUCAUCCUUCCCCCUGGGGGAGAUCAUCCAGUGCCGUGAGGCCACGGGUAGGAUAGCAAAGUGGGCGGUGGAGCUUAUGGGCAAAACACUAUCAUUCGCUCCUCGGAAGGCCAUAAAAUCCCAGGUCUUGGCAGACUUCCUGGCUGAGUGGACCAACACCCAGUUACCGAUAACUCCGAUCUAGCCCGAGCUCUGGACCAUGUACUUCGAUGGGUCACUCAUGAAAACAGGAGCGGGCGCUGGCCUGCUCUUCGUUUCACCCCUUGGAAAGCAUCUCCGCUACGUCAUUCGCCUCCAUUUUCUGGCGUCAAACAAUGUGGCCGAGUACGAAGCACUGGUUAAUGGGCUACGCAUCGCUGUCGAGCUAGGGGUCCGAUGCCUCGACGCUCGAGGCGACUCGCAGCUUGUCAUUGACCAAAUCAUGAAGAACUCCCACUACCGUGACCGGAGGAUGGAAGCCUACUGCGACGAAGUCCGGCGCCUAGAGAACAAGUUCUACGGGCUGGAGCUCAACCACGUCGCCCGACGGUACAACGAGACUGCGGACGAGCUGGCGAAAAUAGCCUCGGGGCGAACGACAGUUCCCCCCGACGUCUUCUCCAGAGAUCUACAUCAACCAUCCGUCAAGAUCGACGACACGCCCGAGCCUGAGGAAGCCUCGGCCCAGCUCGAGGCACCCUCGGCCAAGCCCGAGGUACCCUCGGCCGCACCCGAGGCACCCUCGGCCAUCGAGGAAGAGGCCUUGCCCGUCGAAGAGGAACAGAGUGGGGUCACGACAGAUCCGAACUGGCAGGCCCCGUACCUAGAAUAUCUCCUCCGAGGAGAGCUUCCCAUCGACAAGACCAAAGCUCGGCGGCUGGCUCGGCGCGCCAAAUCAUUUGUCCUGCUAGGUGAUGAAAAAGAGCUCUACCACCACAGCCCCUCGGGCAUCAUUCAGCGAUGCAUAUCCAUCGCCCAAGGAUAGGAGCUGUUGCAAGAAAUACACUCGGGGGCUUGCGGCCACCAUGCAGCGCCUCGAGCCCUCGUGGGGAAUGCCUUUCGACAAGGUUUCUACUAGCCAACCGCGGUGGCCGACGCCACUAGGAUUGUACGCUCCUGCCGGGGGUGUCAAUUCUACGCAAAGCAGAUGCAUCUGCCCGCUCAGGCCUUGCAGACAAUACCCAUCACCUGGCCAUUUGAUGUGUGGGGUCUGGACCUCGUCGGACCCUUGCAGAAGGCACCCGGGGGCUUCACGCACCUGCUGGUCGCUAUCGACAAAUUCUCCAAGUGGAUCGAGGUCCGACCCCUAAACAGCAUCAGGUCCGAGCAGGCGGUGGCAUUCUUCACCUACAUUAUUCAUCGGUUCGGGGUCCCAAACUCAAUCAUCACCGACAAUGGCACGUAGUCCACCGGAAAAAAGUUCCUGGACUUCUGCGACGACCACCACAUCCGUGUGGACUGGGCCGCCGUAGCCCAUCCCAUGACGAAUGGGCAGGUGGAGCGUGCCAACGGUAUGAUUCUGCAGGGGCUCAAACCAAGGAUCUAUAACGACCUCAACAAGUUCGGCAAGCGAUGGAUGAAAGAGCUACCCUCGGUAGUCUGGAGUCUGAGGACGACGCCGAGCCGCGCCAUGGGUUUUACGCCGUUUUUUCUAGUCUAUGGGGCCGAGGCCGUCCUCCCCACAGACUUAGAAUAUGGCUCCCCGAGGACCAAGGCAUACGACGACCAAAGCAACCAGACUAGCCGAGAAGACGCGCUGGACCAACUCGAGGAGGCUCGAGACGUCGCCUUACUACAUUCGGCGCGGUACCAGCAGUCGCUGCGGCACUACCACGCCCGAAGCGUUCAGGCCCGAGGCUUCUAAGUGGGAGACUUGGUGCUUCGCCUACGACAGGACGCCUGAGGGCGCCACAAGCUCACUCCUCCCUAGGAAGGGCCCUUCAUCAUCGCCAGGAUCUUGAAGCCCGGAACAUACAAGCUGGCCAAUGACCAAGGCGAGGUCUACGACAACACUUGGAACAUCCAACAGCUACGUCGCUUCUACCCUUAAGAUGUUUUAAGUCGUUCAUGUACCUCGUUUACGUACACAAAUUUUGACCGUCAAGGAAGGGUCGGCCUUGCCUCAGCAAAGCCCGACCCUCCCUCGGGGGCUAGAAGGGGGGAACCCCCUGCACGUCAAAAAAUUUUCCUCGGAAAAGUUUUCCACCAAAACGACUUUCGUGUUUCCCGACUAUAUCGGUAACAGAACCCCGCAAAAUGAAUAAGAGCGCGUGUAAGCGGCAAGGCCGACCGAGCCGAGGGACUCCUACGCCUCCGGGAUAUGGAUACCUCACUCGUCACCUUCCGCGAGAAAUAACUCUUACUCGGAUAAGCAGUUCUGCUACUGACGAACGAGUCCAGAUACUCGAAACAAGAGGAAAAGAAAUGCAGCUUUAUAACACGACGACAAAGUGUUUAGGCCUCGGCGGCCGCGAAAGACACAUGCAUGUUCCGAACAAGCUGCCCCGGCAGAAUCAGGCAUCGCCCGGGGGAGGAGUGGCACCCUCGGCUUCGUCUCCACCCUCGGCGAGAUCGUCUCCACCCUUGGCGAGGUCUGCCUCGGCCUUGGACGGCGAUGCAAGUGGAAGGAUCUCCACCUCGAAGGAGGACGCCAGCACUGCGCUUGGGCCCACAACGGUCGUGUCAAGCCUCUGAACUUCGGCCAGGGCGGCUUCAUCUUCGUCGGGUAGACAGUACCCCUCGCUGACCCGCUCCAGAUCCACAUCGUAGUGGGAAUCGAGCACGGCGAAGGCUCGCCUAACGCUGUGAUGCAGCACCUCGCGGAGUCUGCUGCGCACAUGGCCGCCCAAGGCCUGCAGGCGACUCCGGGGGAGCUUCCCGAGGGAACAUCGUCAAGACCAGAGACCUGGCAGAAGGCCGAGAUAGCUUUAGACAUGGCCACGCGGUUGGCUUCCUCCCGCUCAGCUGCCCGGGCAAGUGCCUUGGUGGACUCGUUGAGGGCUGACUCAAACUCUGCGAACAGCCAAAAAGAAUUCUUCAAACACGAGUUGAAGAAUGAAGAUCGAAGUCACAAAGCGGCCAAAACAUACCUUCUGCCCGGACACGCUGCUCCGAGGCUGCGGCUUGGGCGGACUGAGCAGACCCGACGGCCGCGACCACGUCCUCCGCCAGGGCACCAGCCCGAGCGGACACCUCGGCUAGCUGGCCCCCAAGGGCCUCAGCCCGGCUUUCGGCCUCAGCGGCCUGGUUCCGAGAUUGGUCCCACUCGCCGACAACCUGGCCAAGCUCCAGCUGCCGCUGCUGCGCCUCUACGUGUGCCGCCACUGCCUCCGCCCCUAGCUCAUCGCAGAGCAACCGAAGGUCCGCCGCCUCGGCGCUCCAUUGGGCGAGGCGCUCGGUAGCCUCGGUAAGCGCGGCCCUCAGGAACCACAACAAACCCCAGACGUUGGCCUCGCGGCGGAUGAACGAUGACUUGGCGGUGCUCAGGUCCGUCAGAUCCUGAGGAAGGGAAGCAGGGCGUCACAAAGAAUACCCUGGCCAUGCGAAAGGUGCGCCUGAAAUCCUUACCUGGAGGAUCCUGGGAACGUCCCUGGAAAAGAUCUCCAUGGUCACCCGAAGCGACCCCAUCGCCGCCUCGGCAUACUCACGGAGCUCAUCCCAAGACUGCUCCUCCCGCUCAUCGUCAAGGACGAAGAGGGGUUUCGAAGCGCCGCGGGUCCAGAACCGGAGCGCCUGCGCGCGUCCCUCAUUAGGAUCGUGCCGCGCGGGGAUGAGGUCGCCGCUCCCCAAGACGGGCCGAGGCUCUGCCCGGGGUCCCGACGCCUUGGAGGCGGGCUCUCGAUCCGCGACCUCGAGCAGAGGCACCUCAACCAUCUCAGCAUCAGUGGCGACGGGUGGCUCCACGGGCAGAAUGGCAACCGCCUCGGUAGAAGCUGGUGCCGUUGCCGACAACACGUUAGAUGGGCACAAGGCCGCGGCCGCGACAGCAGCCUCCCCCGGCACGACGGCCACCUCGACGGAGGGGUCAGCCUGGGGAGCUCGCCCCAUGGCAACUCGCGCCGCCUGGGCCCCCCGCUUGGGGGCAUCUGGUGCGGAGGCCGGCCGACCGGUGUGGCGCGGUGCAACACUGGCUGCAGAAGCUGGCGCCGUCUUAAGGGCCUUCCUGGGAGCCAGAUCGGCCGAACCGUGCCUCCGUUUGCUGGGAGGAAAAGGUAAAGCAGGAUCAGGACACACGAAGAAGGAGCCAGGACAUAGGUAUCCUCAGAUACUUACCCGCUCCGGACCAGAGCCAAUCGCGCCUGAGGGGAGGCCCCUCGGGCCUCGGUCCCCACAGGCGUCGUCAAGGUUCGCCCCGCUGCCGGCUUCAGCGCCGCUCCCACUUCGGGCGCCCGGGGCGCCGAAGGGGCGGCCCGCUCGCAUGGCGUCACGACGGCCCGAGGAUCAACCUCCUGUACGGUCGGCACAGGCGACUACUCGUGGGGGAUAGGCGGGACGGCCUGACCCCCGGGGUCACCUCAACUACCUCGGCCGAGGGGUCAAGUACCCCCUCGGCUUGCCCCUGCUCUUCGGACCGGGACCCUGAUGUCCCGGCCCCGGACACUAACGGCGCCAGCCCACUCGGGGGUGGCUCGACGACCCCUGGCCCAGCCUCAGAUCCGGGCUGAGGCCAAGGCGGGCCGCCAUGUCGUCGUCUUCGUCAUCAUCGUCGUCAUCAUCGUCGUCAGGCGUCUCCGGCAACGGCUACCUCGGGAGCCCGUCCCUCUCCUGCCUUCGACGACGCCUCUCCAAGGCGUCCCGAGCCCGCAUCCGCUCGCGGGCCCGAGCCUUGUCCGCGUCCUUCUUCUCCUUCUUCUUCUCCGCAGCGACCCUCCGCGCGGCUCGGUCCACCACGUCCUCCGGGACCGGUGGCAGGGAAGGCUUGUAACACCUAGCUCCUGGAGACGAGCGGAAAUCCCGACUGAGAGAAUCGAAGGCAACCUAACACAAGAUAGGAGAAGGAGCGGAUACUCACCAAGGACACGCACCCACGCUCGGGACGCAUCAAGGGCUGGGUAAGGGCACCGGCCCUCCAGCUUCCCCACUGUGCCCGCUACUCGCCUGCGAAGGUCGUCGGCAGAGAGGGGAACCGAGGACAUCUGCGAACCCUCCAAGUCGACUCGUGGCAUCAUCUCCGAAAGCGGCAACUGCCGCUCUGCCAAGGGGAGCACCCUCCGGCGAUGAAUGGCGGCAACCACCCCCGCGGCGGUAAGCCCCCCAUCUCGUAGCUCCUGCAAGGCCGCCAGAAGGGGCUGGAGUUUCUCCUGUCUCUCGCGCAUGGCCCCAUAGCGCCAAUUGCUGCCGGGAGCGGUCACCACUCGUUGAGAAAAUGACGGGAGCCUCCCAUCGUCAUUCCGGAGGUAAAACCACCGGCGCUGCCACCCCUUGUUCGAAGACACAAGGAUGGCGGGGAUGUACUGCUGCGCGCGCUUGCCUCAACUGGAGGGUGCAGCCGCUGGCUCGCACCGCCAUACGGACCUUCUUCUCCCCCGUCGUCAAGGCAAAAAGCUCCGCGGAGAAGAAAUGGGUCCACAGAUCCCAGUGGGGGUCAAUCCCCAAAAAGCCUUCGCAAACCGCCGCGAAAAUGGCCGCUUGCGCGAUGAAGUUGGGGUUGAGGUUGUGUAGCUCCACCCCGUAGUAAUGCAGGAGCGCCCACAUGAAACGGCUUGCUGGCACUCCGAACCCCCGCUCAUGGAAGGAGACGAAGCUCAGCACGUACCCCGGCGGCGGGGUCGGGUCAACCCCGCUCGGAGGGACCAUCCACUCCGGCUGCGGGUCACCGGAGAGGGGACGGAGCAACCCGUCGGCGACAAGGGCCUCCAGAUUGUCCACCGUGACGAUGGAAAAAGGCCACGGGUCGUGCGGAGGAACGACGGUCACCCGGUCGGCCAUCGUCAAGCGAAGGGGGUGGCGGCGGAGCGGACGAGGUUUGCGGUUUUCUUUCUCUGGCUAUUCCCUUAGGUUGCGAAAACCCAAGCAGGAGGCAAGCGGCGGAGUAAGGAACCGCAACCGGUCUCUCUUCCGGGUAUAUAAAGGCCCGGGCAAGACCCGUUCAACACUUCGCCCGAACCCGCCGCGAAGUUCAAACCCAGAGGCGAAACGCCCGUUCCUCGAACGGCUUGCACGCGCAACGGGCGCCAUGCGAAUCGCCCGUCCCGUCACCUUAACUCCCCGGCGGAGCAGGCGACACCUUUUAGCAGGCGAGGCGGGCGUCGCUUCACCUUCGCCAUAAUGACCGCGUCAAAAAAGGUGUGCCAUUUUAUUUAAAAUUCAUAUCCUUCCCCUCCUCUCUCUCUCUCUUGCCACAGGGACCGGGAAAGGGGACGUUGUGGAAAGGAUUCUUCCCGGCGAAGGAAGCGGGCCCUGAGCCCUCCUACUGAUCAGGGGUUCGAAGGCUGGCCCAUCGGAAGGGUUCGACAGCCGCCCCAGAGCGCCCGGGCUCCGUGCCCACUACUGAUCAGGGGUUUGUAGGCUGGCCCCUCGGAAGGGUUCGACAGUCGCCCCAGAGCAUGCAGAGUGAGGGAUGACUCUGGGUACGUUCGAUACAUAACCAAGGCUCGGGCUACACUCCCGAGGGACCCUAGGACAUUUCCGAGACCAGCGGGAACGAUUUGUAACGGAAUCCCACCGGAGGGAGGCAUCGAGCCCUCGGACCCUGUCGAAGGGGUCUGGGUCCGGUGAAUCACCCGUAGGUACUUUUGGAGCGCGCCUCCGGGCUACAGCCGACCCCUAACGAACGGGGCACGGGCGUCCACUCGGAUCACCUAUUAGCAGCUCACUGGAAACACCAUGUUCGGCUCCCUCUGAGGGCAACAUGGCGCUUCCCCCCUCCUCCUUGCGGAAAGGCGACGCAGGGGCGUAAAUAAAAGUCAGGAAAGUCCUUGAUCGUCCUCUCGCUUCGUGCAGAGGCUCGGGGGCUGCUCCCGCACCCGGCUAUGGCCAAAACUGUUGACAACGUCAACAAACCAGCCUGAUAACUUGGAACCCGACCACACACUCGGGCUACUGCCAGGCCGCAAGAGGGAACGACUAGACCGGCCGAAGCACUACGAAAAGCAUUUUGACCUCAGAGGAGUCAAACCACUCCUCCGAGGCCUCAUGGGCUACACCCGGCGGGUGUGCUCGCGCGCACCCACCAGAACAAGGCGAAAAACCGAGAAAGGCCGGUCCCCUCACCGAAAACGUGGCAAAAGCCUCCAAGCGAGUACCAUCACUCCCUCCAAGGCUCGGGGGCUAUUGUCGGGUACCAUAAUUAGGGGUACCCCCAACGCUCCUAAUAACGGCUGGUUAACACCCUCAGACCAACUGACGUGUGCGGUUCAAGCCAAGACUUCGUCUACUCGAAGGACGCGAUCUUACCCGAGCCCAGCCUCGAGUAGGAACAGCCGUCCCAGACGAAUUCACGCCUCGCCCGAGGGCCUCCUCAGGCGGCAGGCGCCCCCUCGGCUCUCCCGAGGCCCGGCUCGGGCAGGCUUCGUCGAGAAGCAACCUUAGCCAUACCACCUCACCAACCGAUCGCUUCGCAGGUGCAUUAAAUGCGGGGGAUGCCUGACGCCGUAUCCUGACACACGCGCCUCGGUCGGUCAGGCCGAAGUGACCGCAGUCACUUCGCCCCGCCUCUUUUCUGUCCGAUAUGACAGGAAAACAGCGUCGCUCGCUCCGCUCCGACUGCCGUGUCAGCCACCCCGGCAACGACUGACAGCAUGUCACGAUCAACCACCAAGCUCAAGCCUCGGGCGCAACAGGAAGCUCCGCCUCGCUCGACCUCAGGCUCCGGCCUCGGGAGGAGGUCUCCGCCUCGCCCGAUCCCCGGGCUCGGCCUCGACUCCGGUCUCGGGAGGAAUCGCGUCCUCGCCCGACCCCGGCCUCGACCACAAGCGAAGUCUCCGCCUCGACCGACCCUGGGCUCGGACUGACCGUGCUGAUAGGGGAUGCAUCAUUCCCCUACUCCUAGCCUGCUCAGGCUACAAGGAACAAAACCGGCGUCCCAUCUGAUUUACCCGGCGACGAGUAAUGAUGGUGCUACGCGUGCGCCAUGACGCCGGUGGCUCUCAGCCCCUUACGACAGCAAGGAGACGUCAGCAGGGUCCUCGCGGCGCUGCCAGCUGUGCUCCUACAGGACUCAGGCGCUCCUCCGGCGGCCACGCCAUCACAUGUACAACGUCCAAGCUCUCCCCCCGACAGCCACGUUGGCAUGUACAUAGGGCUUAGGCACUCCACUGCCGGACACAUUAGCGCAUAGCUACGCCCCACGUUGUACACCUGGACUCACUCUUUGCCUCUAAAAGGGGAGUCCAGGGCCACCCUGAAAGAGGUUCGGGGGGUUCGCGCGAGGGGAAGCGGCGUACGAGCCCACUCUCUCUCUCCCUCACGCGACGCGCUUGUAACCCCUACUGCGAGCGGCACCCCUGGUGCAGGAUAAUACAAGGCUUGUUCCACAUCUUGUGUUCUAUCCCGCGCCAACCCAUCUGGGCAGGGACACGCAGCGACAAUUCACUUGUCGGUCCAGGGACCCCCCGGGGUCGAAACGCCGACACAUACUCUUUCUGUACACAAACAUACUCUUUCUGUACACAGAUAUUGUCGCUAUAGUAUCCACGUCGGUCAAACUUUCUUAAGGUUGACUAGAUUUAUAGAAUAUAUUGAUAACAUUUGUAUCCUCGAAUAAUUUUACUAUAGAAAUAGAGAUUCAAAGAUCUAUCUAAUGAAAAUUAUGUGUUAUAAAAAUUAAUAUUUUUUAUAUAAAUAUGGUUAAAGUUAAAAUGGUUGACUCUUCGAAAAGUAAGAAUGACCAAUAUUUGUGGACGGAGGGAGUAAGAGAUAAGAGACUAGUACUGAGAAUUAGGUAGGAUCAUCCACAGGCUAGAUCCAUCGUGUCUCGUGCCAAAUAUACUCAGGUCGAGAAGACUCAAAAUACUUUUAGACUCUAUCAUGUGAGCUUAAGAGUAAAAACAGUAGUUCAACUCGACCCUAAGGUAUGUCGGGCUUUUAUUGGGUCAUACCGGUUCAAGCCUAACCCACAUAUUUAAAAUGACAGUAUUUAAGGAAAAGAGAAACCAAUAGAGCGGUAUCAACAAUCCUCGUCAUGUAUUUCAAAUGAUAGUAUUUCAACAUAUAAAACAGCUACAUUUGCAUAGCUAUAAUACACAAAAUCAUUGGAUACAGCAGUACAUAUAGAUGCCAUAGAUGCCUAAACAGGCGACCGGCCCAAGUCCACUAGGUCCGACUAGUAACUAGGCCGCUCUAGAGCGAUCCAGACACGUCCGAUCUACUGACCAUGUCGGGACCACCGGUUAGCCUAUUAAGAUAUUUGGUUAAAUCAAUGAAGCGGGUUUUGAACUCACACGCUUCUUCUAGAGGAACGACCAGAUACGUUGGCCAAAGUCGACUAAGCCAAUAGAAGGGUAUAAUCACAAUUGCCCUGUUUAGCAUCUUUCGACUUUUCAAUAGUACCAUAUGUGAAAGUCGUCUAGAGGGAGGUGGAUAGGCGAAAUCUAAAAUUUAUAAACUUAAGCACACACUACAAGCCAGGGUUAGCGUUAGAAUUAAAACCGAGUCGGGGCGAGAGGGGGAAAAGAAAUCAACCAAGAGAUAAAGCGAGUGAACACAGUGAUUUGUUUUACCGAGGUUCGGUUCUAAAGAACCUAGUCCCCGUUGAGGUGGUCACAAAGAUUGGGUUUCUUUCAACUCUUUUCCUCUCUCAAACGGUCACUUAGACCGAGUGAGCUUUCUCCUUAAUUCUCAUGGGUCACUUAGACCCUGCAAGGACCACCACACAAUUGGUGUCUCUUGCCUUGCUUACAAAAUACUUGGGAACAAGAAUGAGGAAGGAAGCGAUCCAAGCAACAAAAGCGCAAAGAACACGAACAAACUCUCUCUUAAGUCACUAGGUGGUUGGAAUGAAUUCUAGACUUGGAGAGGCCUUGAUCUUUUAGAAAUGUGUCUUAGAGUGAAUGCACUAGCUCUUGUAUUGAAUGUGAAGUGCUGGAAACUUAGAUGCUUGAAGUGGUGGUGGUUGGGGGGUAUUUAUAGCCCUCAACCACCAAACAACUGUUGGGCAGUCUGAUGUCGAUGGGCGCACCAGACAGUCCGGUGCGCCACCGGACACAGUCCGGUGCACUAGCCACGUCACCCAACUGUUAGGGUUCUGGAGCAUUUGACUAUUGGAGGCUUUGUCCUCUAGUGGCACCGGACAAUCCGGUGCUACACUAGACAUGUCCUGUUCACUGUCCGGUGCGCCUUUGACUUCUGCUCUAACUUCUGCUGCGCACUGUAGCGCACUGUAGCGUUAGCAGAGUCGACCGUUGCACGAAGGAGCCGUUGCUCCGCUGGUGCACCGGACAGUCCGAUGGCACACCGGACAGUCCGGUGAAUUAUAGCGGAGCGCGCCUGGAGAAACCCGAGAGUGGCUAUUUCAUUCUUGUACGAUCCUGGUGCACCGGACACUAUCCGAUGGCACACCGGACAGUUCGGUGCGCCAGACCAGAGCACACUCGGUUUCUUUGCUCCUUUGUAUUUGAACCCUAUCUUGAAUAUUUAUUGGUUUGUGUUGAACCUUUAUGCACCUGUAGAACAUAUAUUCUAGAGCAAACUAGUUAGUCCAUAUAUUUGUGUUGGGCAUUCAACCACCAAAAUUAAUUAUGGGAAAAGGUUAACCCUAUUUCCCUUUCAAUCUCCCCCUUUUGGUGAUUGAUGCCAACACAAACCAAAGCAAAUAUAUAAAGUGCAGAAAUGAACUAGUUUGCAUAAGGUAAGUGCAUAGGUUACUUGGAAUUAAACCAAUUUGAAAGUCUUAUUACAUAUGAAUAAGAGUGAAUGGAUUGCUUUCUUUUAUUAACAUUUUGGACCACUUUUGCACCACAUGUUUUUGUUUUUGCAAAUCUUUUUCAAAUUCUUUUCAAAAUUCUUUUGCAAAUAGUCAAAGGUAUAUGAAUAAGAUUGUAAGAAGCAUUUUCAAGAUUUGAAAUUUCUCCCCCUGUUUCAAAUGCUUUUCCUUUGACUAAACAAAAGCUCCCCCUGAAUGAAAUUCUCCUCUUAGCUUUCAAGAGAGUUUUGAAAUGGAUACCAAUUUUGAAAUCUUUUUUUCAUAAGCAUAGAUACCAAUUUGAAAUUGUCUUGAGUACUAAAAAACAAACAUUUGUGAAUACCAAUAAAAUAUUCAUUUCGAAAAUUUUGAAAUGGUGGUGGUGCGGUCCUUUUGCUUUGGGCUUAAUAUUUUCUCCCCCUUUGGCAUUAAGCGCCAAGAACGGAGAACAUUGGAGCCCUUUUUAUAUUUUCUCCCCCAGUGAUAAAAUAAAUAUGAGUGAAAGAUUAUACCAAUCGGAGAGAUGGCGGAAUACCGGCAAAGGGUAAGUAAUACCGAUGGAGUUGAGUGGAAGCGUUGUCUUUGCCGAGUACUCCAUUUCCCUUUCAAUCUAAGACUAACACAAGAAAUACUCAUGGAAUCAUAUUAGUGUUGGGGCGAAGCCAAAGACGCUACCCUUCGCUCUAGGCCUUCGUCAACUCGCUGCACCGACAGAGGCAAGAUGACCGGUGUGACCCACCCUUCGUCCUCUUCACUGCAAGACGAAGGCCUACGACGAAGUCUCUCCAUCCCGCGUCCUCGGUCCUACCUGGAGGCCCACGUGGGAUUCGGCCCAUCGUAACAGGCCCCGCACGGACAGGCGUGUUACGGACCUGAUUUGUAAUAGCUUUUCUGUAAUGACAGUUUAUAACCCUCCUUUAUGGGAAUAUUCUGGGGAUAAUCCAGGUGUCUGAGGGCAUAAGCGUCCUUACAUCGAGACGUUGGGCGCUCGGGCACCUAUAAAUACCCCCGUACAAUGCCCUUGAGAGGCUGGAUUAACAGAGCAAUCGCCAUCUCGAGUAAAACCUUACUUGCAUCCUUUCCACUCCCCCGUUGGAUCAACUUGCCCAGGAGUGCAAGUUCAAACAUUUGGCGUCCACCGUUCGUUCUACGAACAAACAACUCGCGAUGGCACCCAAGAGAGCUAGUUCCAAGGCAGCCCCCUCCAUCGACGAAGCAGCAAAGGCAGCACUGCUAGCUGAGAAAAAGGGCAAGGCCCUCGCAGACAACACCCACCAAGAAGCUGGCGAAGACGAAGCACACAGUAAGAGACAGCGCAACGAUCAACACACUCCCGAAGGCACCCUCCGCACCUGCAGCUCCGGAGGGCAACCACAAGUACCACCCCCAGGCUUCGCUCCACUAGAGGGCGACGACGCAACAGAGGACGGCGAAGUCAUCGGCGUCUUAGCAGAAGAGCAGCUACAACUACGGGCCCUACGCCUCAAGAACCGCAACCUCCAGAAGCAGAAAGAGAUCCUCGAGGCCAAGCGCCAAUGUGUCUCCGCGCAAGCCAAGGUGCGCCAGAUGAUACGAGACGAGGAGCAGAGGGCUCGGGAACUCAAACAGGAGAUUGCGCUCAUGCAGCGUGAAGGCCAACACGAUCUGCAGCACGACCCGCCCCUCCAACAUCGUGCGCCGGUCAGAGACUUAUUCAUUCCCCAGCGCGAACCCUUCGUCCCGCACGCAUCAGCUUUCCAGGGCAUCAACUACCUCGAUGAGCGAAGCCCUCUGGCACCGCAACUGCAAGUGUCACCAUGGCCCGCCAACUUCAGGGCAGGGACCUACCCCAAGUACAACGAUAGCACUGACCCAGCACAAUACAUCAUGAGCUAUCAAGUCGCCGUCGCAUCAUCCGGAGGGGACGACGCCACGAUGGCCAAGUCUUUCAUCAUCGCCCUCGAGGGUCCGGCCUUGACCUGGUACACCAGGUUGCCCCCAUUGUCCAUCGACUCCUGGAGAAGUCUCCGGGACAAGUUUCUGCUAAACUUUCAGGGGUACCGCCCAGACACCGAUGCCUUGGCCGACCUGUCACUCUGCAAACAGCAAGAGAAAGAAACCCUGCGGGAGUACUACCGCAAGUUCCUGACCCUCAAGUCACAACUGCCCUCGGUCGACGACCAAAUUGCCAUACACUACGCCAUCAGUGGCCUUCGAGCUGGCGUCCUGUACAGUCACUGCAUCAGGGACCCAUCCAGAAACCUCUAGGAGCUCUAUCAGUUGUUUGAAAAGUACGCCAGAUCCGAAGAGCUCCAUCAGCGCAAGGUCGAGUCUCAAAGAAAGCCCAAGGACCCUCCGUAGUCUAGCCGAACAUGGACAAGACCUUCGCAGUCAGACUCCGGCCGGGACAGCCGCAGUCAGUAGCAGGUGCAUAACAUUGCCAACCAGCACCCCGCCGGCGAAGCCCCUCGCCGCCAAGAUUAUCCCCCCAGGGCCGCGGCAAUGGCACGCAUGGUCGGGGCCGGGGACGGGCUCAACAGCCGCAUAGAUAUUACUACCUGUUUCACGGCGAAGACUGCACGCACCCAACCAGGGAUUGCCCGAAAACGAAGGCCACCAGGGACAGGAUGUCUCAGGCACAACCAGCCGACAACCCAAGAGUUGUCGCACACACAUAUCAACACCACCACCCACAACCAUACAACCACGGCCUCGCCCAGCAUCUACCCAACCACGCAUAUCAACACCACCAGGAGGUACAAGUCGUACCACCCCCACUCCAACUCCCGCCUCAGCAUCAACCAAACAUCCACCACCAAAAUCACCCCAAGAACCAAAACAGGAAGACUUCGCUGAUCAACCGUAUCGCGGAGUCAUUCACAUGAUCACCGGAGGGUCCAGCGUCGACUUCGACACGAAGCGACAAAAGAGGGACCACUACCAAAGCAUCAGCCACGUCGCCAUCACCGGCCCAGUCGUGCAAAUGAAGUGGUCACAUGUGCCGCUAACCUUCGACGCCAGAGAUGUUGAUCUGCGCAGCGCACCCCACAUUGAUGCCAUGGUAAUCAACUGCAGUGUGGCAGGCUGGGACAUGCACAAAUUCCUAGUUGACAACGGCAGCCAGGCGGACAUCAUCUUCCUCCACGCCUUCGACCGCAUGGGCAUCAGCCACAGCUUGCUCAAGCCUUCAGACAACCCCCUUCAUGGCUUCGGCGGCAAGGUCACCUUCCCUGUGGGCAAGAUAGAGCUACCUCUGUCCUUCGGCGUAGCACCCAAUGCGUGAAGCGAACAUGUCACCUUCGACAUCGUUGACAUAGUCUAUCCCUACAACGCCAUAAUGGGUCGGGGUUCUAUCAACAAAUUUGAAGUGGCCAUCCACGUAUUAUACCUCUGCAUGAAAAUUCCGGGUCCGCAAGGCGUAAUAAUUGAGAGCACCUAGAGGGGGGGUGAAUAGGUGAUCCUGUAAUACUUCAAAAUCUUAAGCCACAAAACUUGAUUAAUUGUUAGCACAGUAAUUUGCCAAGUGGCUAGAGAAGGAUCUCAACACAACACAAUAACCAAGAGAUAUCAAUCACAGAGAUGGCACGGUGGUUAUCCCGUGGUUCGGCCAAGACCAACGCUUGCCUACUCCACGUUGUGGCGUCCCAACGGACGAGGGUUGCAAUCAACCCCUCUCAAGCGGUCCAAAGACCAACUUGAAUACCACGGUGUUGCUUUGCUUUUCUUAAUCCCACUUGCGAGGAAUCUCCACAGCUUGGAGCCUCUCGCCCUUUCAAAAGAUGUUCACAAAGAAUCACGGAGCAAGGGAGGGAUCAGCAACUCACACACGACACAAAGAUCACAGCGAAUACGCACACACAAAACCAAGACUUGAGCUCAAGUGACUAGCACACUAGAACGGAGCUCAAAUCACUAGAAUGUCGAACAAGUGCGCAAGAAUGUAGUGUGAGUGAUCAACAAUGCUCAAGGGAUGCUUGGUGUUCUCCUCCAUGCGCCUAGGGGUCCCUUUUAUAGCCCCAAGGUAGCUAGGAGCCGUUGAGCACAAAUCUGGAAAGCCAUUCUUGCCUUCUGUCAUCGGGUGCACCGGACAGUCCGGUGCACACCGGACACUGUCCGGUGCCCGAUUUCCUUCCUAAAAUGGCGCGGCCGACUGUUGCAGAUCUGGGAGCCGUUGGCGCACCGGACAUGUCCGGUGCACACCGGACAGUCCGGUGCCCCCUCCCGACCGUUGGCCCGACCACGUGUCGCGCGCAGAUUCCGCGGCCGACCGUUGGCUCACCGGACAGUCCGGUGCACACCGGACAGUCCGGUGAAUUUUAGCCGUACGCCGUCGGCGAAUUCCCGAGAGCGGCCACUUCACGCCGAGUCAGCCUGGCGCACCGGACAGUCCGGUGUGCCAGACUGAGCUGAGUCUUGGCUGUACACAGCCAAGCCUUUUUCACCUCUUUUCUUUUCUUCUUCUUUCUGUUUCUAACACUUAGACAAGUAUAUUAGUACACAAAACCAAUGUACUAAGGCUUAGAAACAUACCUUUACUCUUGAUUUGCACUUUGUCCAUCCAUGAGCAUAAAUUCACAUUUAAGCACUUGUGUUGGCACUCAAUCACCAAAAUACUUAGAAAUGGCCCAAGGGCACAUUUCCCUUUCAAUCUCCCCCUUUUUGGUGAUUUAUGCCAACACAACAUAAAGCAACUAGAACAAGUGCAAUAUCACUUCAAAUAAAACUCAAAUUUAUUUUGAUUCAAUUUUGGCAUAUAUGGAUCAUCCUUUGCCACCACUUGGUUUGUUUUUGCAAAUCAAACUCAAAUCUCUAUCUCUAAGUCAAACACACAUGUUGAAGCAUAAAUAGAGUCAUUUCAAAAGAGAUUGAUCAAAGAUUUCAAAAACUCCCCCUAUUUCCCAUAAUCAACACUUCUCCCCACAAGAGGCCAACUUUUGACAAAAGAGACAAUGCAAGAGUUUUGACAAAACAAAAAGCUCUAUUUUACUAUUUUCAAAAUUUCUCAAGUGGUAGCUGAUCCAUUUAUUGCUUUGGCCUUUAUUUUCUCCCCCUUUGGCAUCAAGCACCAAAACGGGAUCAAUCUUGGCCCGAUAACCCCAUUGCCUCACCAAAAUCUUCAAUUAAGAGCAAAUGGCAAUAAGAGUUCAUGAGAUGAACUUGGAAUAAGUUACCCUCUCAUCGGAGUGCAGUGGAAGUCUUUCAUGGUCCAAGUCCACCUUUUCCCUUUCAAUCCUCCUUCGAGACUAAAUCAUCAAACUCAAGCACAUGGUUAGUCUCAAAGGGUCAAGUUGUAACACAUCUCCCCCUAAACAUGUGCAUCACUUUGCAACGGACUUGUGAGGUCCAGGGAGUGUUUGUACAACUUGAGCACCACAAUAAGCAACAAAAUGCAGAAGGAACAUGAUCACAGGCAUAAACACAAGUAUGCUAUAAAUCAAUCCAAUUUCCGCGAAUCUAAGACAUUUAGCUCACUACGCAACCUGCAAAAGGUCUUCUCAUCUAGAGGCUUGGUAAAGAUAUCGGCUAGCUGGUUCUCGGUGCUAACAUGAAACACUUCGAUAUCUCCCUUUUGCUGGUGGUCUCUCAAAAAGUGAUGCCGGAUGUCUAUGUGCUUUGUGCGGCUGUGCUCAACAGGAUUUUCCGCCAUGCGGAUAGCACUCUCAUUAUCUCAUAGGAGUGGGACUUUGCUCAGAUUGUAGCCAAAGUCCCGAAGGGUUUGCCUCAUCCAAAGCAGUUGCGCGCAACACUGUCCUGCGGCAACGUACUCGGCCUCAGCGGUGGAUAGGGCAACAGAGGUUUGUUUCUUAGAGUUCCAUGACACCAGGGACCUUCCUAAGAAUUGGCACGUCCCCGAUGUACUCUUCCUAUCGACCUUACAUCCAGCAUAGUCGGAGUCUGAGUAUCCAACCAAGUCAAAGGUAGACCCCUUUGGAUACCAGAGCCCGAAGCAAGGCGUAGCAACCAAAUAUCUAAGAAUUCGCUUCACCGCCACUAAGUGACACUCCUUAGGAUCAGAUUGAAAUCUAGCACACAUGCAUACGCUAAGCAUGAUAUCCGGUCUACUAGCACAUAAAUAAAGUAAAGACCCUAUCAUUGACCGGUAUGCUUUUUGAUCAACGGACUUACCUCCUUUGUUGAGAUCGGUGUGUCCGUCGGUUCCCAUCGGAGUCUUUGCGGGCUUGGCGUCCUUCAUCCCAAACCGCUUUAGCAGAUCUUGCGUGUACUUCGUUUGGGAGAUGAAGGUGCCGUCCUUGAGUUGCUUCACUUGGAACCCAAGGAAGUAGUUCAACUCGCCCAUCAUCGACAUCUCGAAUUUCUGCGUCAUUACCCUGCUAAACUCUUCACAAGACUUUUGGUUAGUAGAACCAAAUAUUAUGUCAUCGACAUAAAUUUGGCACACAAAAAGAUCACCGUCACAAGUCUUAGUGAAAAGAGUUGGAUCGGCUUUCCCAACCUUGAAAGCAUUAGCACUUAAAAAGUCUCUAAGGCAUUCAUACCAUGCUCUUGGGGCUUGCUUAAGUCCAUAGAGCGCCUUAGAGAGCUUACACACGUGGUCGGGGUACCGUUCAUCCUCGAAGCCAGGGGGUUGCUCCACGUACACCUCCUCCUUGAUUGGCCCGUUGAGGAAAGCGCUCUUCACAUCCAUUUGGAACAACCUGAAAGAAUGGUGAGCGGCAUAUGCUAGCAAGAUACGAAUUGAUUCUAGCCUAGCCACAGGAGCAAACGUCUCCUCAAAGUCCAAACCUGCGACUUGGGCAUAACCUUUUGCCACAAGUCGAGCCUUGUUCCUCGUCACCACCCCGUGCUCGUCCUGUUUGUUGCGGAACACCCACUUGGUUCCCACAACAUUUUGCUUGGGACGAGGCACCAGUGUCCAAACUUCAUUGCGCUUGAAGUUGUUGAGUUCCUCCUGCAUGGCCAAUACCCAAUCCGGAUCUAGAAAGGCCUCCUCUACCCUGAAAGGCUCAAUAGAAGAGACAAAGGAGUAAUGCUCACAAAAAUUAACUAAUCGAGAUCGAGUAGUUACUCCCUUGCUAAUGUCACCCAAAAUUUGGUCGACGGGAUGAUCCCUUUGAAUCACCGCUCGAACUUGGGUUGGAGGUGCCGGUUGUGCUUCUUCCUCCAUCACGUGAUCAUCUUGUGCUCCUCCUUGAUCACACGCCUCCUUUUGAUGAACCUGUUCAUCGUCUUGAGGUGGGGGAUGCACCGUUGUUGAGGAAGAAGGUUGAUCUCGUUCAUCUUGUUCCUGUGGCCGCACUUCUCUAAUCGCCAUGGUUCGUAUAGCGGCCGUCGGAACAUCUUCUUCAUCUACAUCAUCACAAUCAACAACUUGCUCUCUUGGAGAGCCAUUAGUCUCAUCAAAUACAACGUCGCUAGAGACUUCAACCAAACCCGAUGAUUUGUUGAAGACUCUAUACGCCUUUGUAUUUGAGUCAUAACCUAAAAAAACCCUUCUACAGCUUUGGGAGCAAAUUUAGAAUUUCUACCCUUCUUCACUAGAAUGUAGCACCUGCUCCCAAAUACACGAAAGUAAGAUACAUUGGGUUUGUUACCGGUUAGUAGCUCAUACGAAGUCUUCUUGAGGAGACGAUGAAGGUAGACCCGGUUGAUGGCGUGGCAAGCCGUGUUCAUGGCUUCCGACCAAAAACGCUCGGGGGUCUUGAAUUCUCCAAGCAUCAUCCUCGCCAUAUCGAUUAACGUCCUGUUCUUCCUCUCUACCACACCAUUUUGCUGUGGUGUGUAGGGAGCGGAGAACUCGUGCUUGAUCCCUUCCUCCUCAAGGAACUCCUCCACUUGAAGGUUCUUGAACUCGGACCCGUUGUCGCUCCUUAUCUUCUUCACCUUGAGCUCAAACUCAUUUUGAGCUCUCCUUAGGAAGCGCUUGAGGGUCCCUUGGGUUUCAGACUUAUCCUGCAAAAAGAACACCCAAGUGAAGCGGGAAAAGUCAUCAACAAUAACUAGACCAUACUUACUUCCUCCUAUGCUCAGAUAGGCGACGGGUCCGAAGAGGUCCAUAUGUAGCAGCUCCAGGGGUCUUGAUGUUGUCAUCACAUUUUUGGUGUGAUGAGAGCCUCCCACUUGUUUCCCUGCUUGACAAGCUGCACAAGGUCUAUCUUUUUCGAAAUGAACAUUGGUUAGACCUAUCACAUGUUCUCCCUUUAGAAGCUUGUGGAGGUUCUUCAUCCCCACAUGUGCUAAGCGGCGAUGCCACAGCCAGCCCAUGCAAGUCUUAGCCAUUAAGCAUGCAUCUAGACCGGUCUCUUCUUUUGCAAAAUCAACUAGGUAAAGCUUGCCGUCUAGUACACCCUUAAAAGCUAGUGAACCAUCACAUCUUCUAAAGACAGACACAUCUAUAUUUGUAAACAAACAGUUAUAUCCCAUAUUGCAUAAUUGACUAACAGAUAGCAAAUUAUAUCCAAGAGACUCUACUAAAAACACAUUAGAGAUAGAGUGCUCAUUUGAGAUUGCAAUUUUACCUAACCCUUUUACCUUGCCUUGAUUCCCAUCACCGAAUAUUAUUGAAUCUUGGGAAUCUUUGUUUUUGACGUAGGAGGUGAACAUCUUCUUCUCCCCCGUCAUAUGGUUUGUGCAUCCGCUAUCAAUAAUCCAGCUUGAACCCCCGGAUGCAUAAACCUGCAAGGCAAAUUUAGGCUUGGGUCUUAGGUACCCAACUCAUGUUGGGUCCUGCAAGGUUAGCACAAAUAUCCUUAGGGACCCAAAUGCAAGUUUUGUCUCCCUUGCAUCUUGCCCCUAAUUUUCUAGCAACUAUCUUCCUAUCCUUUCUACAAAUAGCAAAAGAAGCAUUUAAAGCAUGAUAUAUUGUAGAGGGUUCAUUUACUUUCCUAGGAACAUUAACAACAUUUCUCCUAGGCAAAUUAUGAACAGCAUUUCUCCUACCAACAUUUCUAUCAUGCACAUAAGAAGAACUAGAAGCAAACAUGGCAUGAGAAUCAAAGGGAUUAUAUGCAUUACAACUUCUAUAAGCAUUUCUAGAUUGUCUCCUAUCAUGGUACAUAAAAGCAUGGUUCUUUUGCACACUACUAGCCAUAGGGGCCUUUCCUUUCUCCUUGGCGGAGAUGGGGGCCUUAUGGCUUGUCAAGUUCUUGGCUUCCCUCUUGUAGCCAAGUCCAUCCUUAAUUGAGGGGUGUCUACCGAUCGUGUAGGCAUCCCUUGCAAAUUUUAGCUUGUCAAAUUCAUUCUUGCUAGUCUUAAGUUGGGCAUUAAGACUAGCUAAUUCCUCAUUUAAUUUAGAAAUUGAAACUAAAUGAUCACUACAAGCAUCAAUGUCAAAAUCUUUACACCUAUUACAAGUUUCAACAAUUUCUACACAAGAAUUAGAUUUACUAGCUACUUCUAGUUUAGCAUUUAAAUCAUCGUUAAAACUUUUUAACUUAGCAAUAGUUUCAUGACAAGAAGAUAAUUCACUAGAGAGCAUUUCAUUCCUCUUAAUUUCUAGAGCAAGAGAUUUCUGAGCUUCUACAAAUUUAUCUUGUUCUUCAUACAACAAAUCCUCUUGCUUUUCUAACAGUAUAUUCCUAUCAUUCAAGGCAUCAAUCAAUUCAUUAAUUUUGUCUACCUUAGUUCUAUCUAAUCCCUUGAAUAAGCAUGAGUAAUCUAUCUCAUCAUCAUCACUAGACUCAUCCUCACUUGAAGAAGCAUAAGUACUAGUAUUAGGAGUGCUUACUUUCUUCUCCCUUGCCAUGAGGCAAGUGUGACGCUCGUUGGGGAAGAGGGAUGACUUGUUGAAGGCAGUGGCGGCGAGUCCCUCAUUAUCAGAGUCGGACGAGGAGCAGUCCGAAUCCCACUCCUUGCCAAGAUGAGCCUCGCCCUUUGCCUUCUUAUAGUUCUUCUUUUUCUCCCUCUUGUUCCCUUGAUCCUGAUCACUAUCAUUGUCGGGACAGUUAGCAAUAAAAUGACCAAGCUUACCGCAUUUGAAGCAUGAGCGCUUCCCCUUGGCUUUGGUCUUGCUUGGCUGUCCCUUGCGACCUUUAAGCACCAUCUUGAAUCUUUUGAUGAUGAGAGCCAUCUCUUCAUCAUUAAGUCCGGCCGCCUCAAUCUGUGCCACCUUGCUUGGUAGCGCCUCCUUGCUUCGUGUUGCCUUGAGAGCAAGGGGUUGCGGCUCGUUGACCGGACCAUUCAAGGCGUCGUCCACGUACCUCGCCUCCUUGAUCAUCAUUCGCCCGCUAACAAAUUUCCCAAGAACUUCUUCGGGCGACAUCUUGGUGUACCUGGGAUUUUCACGAAUAUUGUUCACCAAAUGAGGAUCAAGAACGGUAAAUGACCUUAGCAUUAGGCGGACGACGUCGUGGUCCGUCCAUCGCGUGCUCCCGUAGCUCCUUAUUUUGUUGAUAAGGGUCUUGAGCCGGUUGUAUGUUUGUGUCGGCUCCUCGCCCCUUAUCAUCGCGAACCGUCCAAGCUCGCCUUCCACCAACUCCAUUUUGGUGAGCAAGGUGACGUCGUUUCCCUCAUGAGAGAUCUUGAGGGUGUCCCAGAUCUGCUUGGCAUUGUCCAAGCCGCUCACCUUGUGAUACUCGUCCCUGCACAAAGAGGCUAGCAACACAGUAGUAGCUUGUGCAUUUUUAUGAAUCUGUUCAUUAAUAAACACAGGGCUAUCCGAGCUAUCAAAUUUCAUUCCACUUUCCACAAUCUCCCAAAUGCUUGGAUGGAGAGAAAACAGGUGAGUACGCAUUUUGUGGCUCCAAAAUCCGUAGUCCUCUCCAUCAAAGUGAGGGGGCUUGCCAAGUGGAAUGGGGAGCAAUUGAGCAUUUGAACUAUGCGGGAUGCGUGAAUAAUCGAAAGAAAAGUUUGAGUUAACCGUCUUUCGUCUAUCGUGGUCGUCGUCGUCCUUUUGGGAGGAGGAAGAUUCGUCGCUAUCGUAGUAGACAAUUUCCUUGAUGCGCCUUGUCUUCUUCUUCCUCCCGUCUUUUCUUUUGUGGCCCGAGCCUGAGUCGGUGAGCUUGUCAUCAUUGGGCUCGUUGACGAAGGUCUCCUUCUCCUUGUCGUUGAUCACCAUCCCCUUGCCCUUAGGAUCCAUCUCUUCGGGCGGUUAGUCCCUUUCUUGAAGAGAACGGCUCUGAUACCAAUUGAGAGCACCUAGAGGGGGGGGGGGUGAAUAGGUGAUCCUGUAAUACUUCAAAAUCUUAAGCCACAAAACUUGAUUAAUUGUUAGCACAGUAAUUUGCCAAGUGGCUAGAGAAGGAUCUCAACACAACACAAUAACCAAGAGAUAUCAAUCACAGAGAUGGCACGGUGGUUAUCCCGUGGUUCGGCCAAGACCAACGCUAGCCUACUCCACGUUGUGGCGUCCCAACGGAUGAGGGUUGCAAUCAACCCCUCUCAAGCGGUCCAAAGACCAACUUGAAUACCACGGUGUUGCUUUGCUUUUUCUUAAUCCCACUUGCGAGGAAUCUCCACAGCUUGGAGCCUCUCGCCCUUUCAAAAGAUGUUCACAAAGAAUCACGGAGCAAGGGAGGGAUCAGCAACUCACACACGACACAAAGAUCACAGCGAAUACGCACACACAAAACCAAGACUUGAGCUCAAGUGACUAGCACACUAGAACGGAGCUCAAAUCACUAGAAUGUCGAACAAGUGCGCAAGAAUGUAGUGUGAGUGAUCAACAAUGCCCAAGGGAUGCUUGGUGUUCUCCUCCAUGCGCCUAGGGGUCCCUUUUAUAGCCCCAAGGUAGCUAGGAGCCGUUGAGCACAAAUCUGGAAAGCCAUUCUUGCCUUCUGUCAUCGGGUGCACCGGACAGUCCGGUGCACACCGGACACUGUCCGGUGCCCGAUUUCCUUCCUAAAAUGGCGCGACCGACCGUUGCAGAUCUGGGAGCCGUUGGCGCACCGGACAUGUCCGGUGCACACCGGACAGUCCGGUGCCCCCUCCCGACCGUUGGCCCGGCCACGUGUCGUGCGCAGAUUCCGCGGCCGACCGUUGGCCCGGUCGACCGUUGGCUCACCGGACAGUCCGGUGCACACCGGACAGUCCGGUGAAUUUUAGCCGUACGCCGUCGGCGAAUUCCCGAGAGCGGCCACUUCACGCCGAGUCAGCCUGGCGCACCGGACACUGUCCGGUGCACCACCGGAUAGUCCGGUGUGCCAGACUGAGCUGAGUCUUGGCUGUACACAGCUAAGCCUUUUUCACCUCUUUUCUUUUCUUCUUCUUUCUGUUUCUAACACUUAGACAAGUAUAUUAGUACACAAAACCAAUGUACUAAGGCUUAGAAACAUACCUUUACUCUUGAUUUGCACUUUGUCCAUCCAUGAGCAUAAAUUCACAUUUAAGCACUUGUGUUGGCACUCAAUCACCAAAAUACUUAGAAAUGGCCCAAGGGCACAUUUCCCUUUCAAUAAUGGUGUAUGGGAACCAGCAGGCUGCGCGUAACAUUAAGAGAGACUUCGUUCCCGGUCAACAGAACAUACACUGCCUUACGGCACAGCGCGAAGUCCCCGAGGCUACCCGCCCAGCCGCCAACGAACAUGAAAAAGCACAGCUGCAAAGCAACGACGAAACGAAGACGGUUCCCCUUGACCCAGCAACGCUAAAGCAAACAGUCAUCAUAAGCGAAGACCUGACUUCGCAGGAGGAGGAGAAACUCAUCUCCUGUCUCUGCAGAAAUAAGGACGUCUUCGCCUGGUCCGCCCUCAACCUGGUCGGAGUCAGUCGCACCGUCAUCGAGCACAGUCUGGGCAUUGACCCUUCGGUGCGCCCAAAGAAGCAGCGGUUGCGCCAAAUGUCCGAUGAAAAAACAAAAGCCGCCAAAGCCAAAGUACACCGCCUACUGGAGGCCAAUUUCAUCGAGCCAGUCGCCUACCCUACGUGGCUAUCCAACGUAGUCAUGGUGCAGAAGAAGAGCGGCAAGUGGCGGAUGUGCAUCGAUUUCACCAGCCUCAACUAGGCCUGCCCCAAGGAUAAUUUUCCGCUGCCACGGAUCGACAAGAUAGUCGAUAGUGCGGCCGGAUGCGAAGUCAUGUCACUCCUUGACUGCUUCUCCGGCUACCACCAAAUAUAUAUGAAGGAGGAAGACAAUGCCAGUACCAGUUUCAUCACACCCUUCGGCACAUACUGCUUCAUCAGAAUGCCGGAGGGACUCAAGAACGCUGGGUCAACCUUCUCUCGCCUCACCAAGACGGUGCUCGAGAGCCAAGUAGGCCAGAACAUUUUCACGUAUGUGGACGACAUCGUCGUCGCCAACAAAAAUAAGGAGGAUCACCUGACCGACCUCGCAGAGACAUUCGCAAACAUGAGGGACGCACGACUUCGCCUCAACCUCGAGAAGUGCGUCUUUGGGGUCCGCCAGGGGAAGAUACUGGGCUACCUGGUGUCACACAGCGGGAUCGAGGCCAACCCGACCAAGAUUCAGGCAAUAAUCAACAUGACACCCCCGCGGUCAACCAGGGACGUCCAGCGUCUAACAGGCAGAUUGGCCGCUCUAAACAAAUUCAUCUCCAAUUCCACCGAGCGAAGUCUACCUUUCCUCAAGACACUGCAUGGUGCGAAGGACUUCACGUGGGGACCAGAACAGGCGGCAGCCUUCGCAUCACUCAAGCAGCACCUGUCAGACUUGGCCAUUCUCACCAGUCCAGACCCUUCACUGCCGCUUCUGCUCUACAUCGCCGCCUCGCCAUAUGCAGUCAACGCAGCCCUAGUCCAAGAGCAAAACAGGGAGGGCACGACCUGGCAGUGUCCAGUCUACUACGUCUCCGAGGUCCUCAUGGCCUCCAAGUGUAACAUGACCGAGUUGGAAAAAAUCUCCUACGCAGUCGUCAUGGCAUCACGCAAGCUGCGCCAUUACUUCGAAGCAUUCAAGGUGUGGGUCACCUCAGACAGGGGACUGGGAGAGCUGUUCUGCAACCCGGAGGCGUCUGUCCGGAUUGCCAAAUGGGCAGCCGAGCUCUCCGACUACCGUAUCAUCUUCGAACCCAGGACAACAAUCAAGUCGUAGGUCCUGGCAGAUUUCAUCGUUGACUAGACAGGGCCAGUAGCGCAGUAGGACGAGCCUACAGAUAAAGUGUGGACCAUCCACUGCGACGGCACAUGGUGCCAUGCGGGGGCAGGCGCGGCUGCAGUCAUCACAUCACCCACAGGGGUCAAACACAGAUAUGCAGCACGCCUCAGCUUUGCUUUGGAGUCCGUCAGAUGCACCAACAAUGUAGCAGAAUACGAAGCUGUCAUCCUGGGUCUUCGCAAGCUAAGAGCGCUUGGUGUCACCACCUGCAUAAUCAAGACAGAUUCCAAAGUGGUUGCUGGUCAGGUCGAAAAAGAAUAUUCAACAAAAGACCCCGCACUCAUGUAGUAUCUCACGGCUGUUCGCAGUCUUGAGAGACAGUUCAAGGGUUUCACCUUGCAGCAUGUGGACCGAGCCAGGAACGAGGAGGCCGACGCAUUGGCCAAAGCAGCUGCCAGAGGCGAAGUCUUGCCCUCCGAUGUGUUCUACCACGUCAUCGGCACACCAGCCGUCCGCAGUCCAGAGGGUCUACAAAUAACCAACGACACCGAGGGCCAUCGCAUAGUCAACCUCAUCAUGAUAGAAGAUUGGCGGGCCCCGAUAACCCUGUUCCUACAAGGAUAUUAUCAUCCAAGAAACGUUAACGAGGCCAAGCGCCUCAAGCACCGAAGCCGGGACUUCGCAAUCAUUGAGGGCCAGCUAUACAAGAAGGGGGUCAGUCAACCUAUGCUUAAAUGUGUCACUGAAACUGAAGGCAUCCAGAUCCUGCGCGAAGUCCACAACGAAACUUGUGGCUCUCACUCGGGGCCUAGGGCCCUCGCUGCCAAGGUGACCCGUCAAGGGUUCUACUGGCCCGCUAUAAUCUGCGCCGCAAACCGAGUCACGAGGUCGUGUGAAGCCUGCCAGAAGUUUUCUCCCCAUUCGGGCAACCCUUUGCAAUUCACAAAGCUGAUUGCCCACACAUGGCCACUUCAACGCUGGGGGCUGGAUAUUGUCGGGCCACUACCCACGGCUCAAGGGAACCUCAAGUUCACCUUCGUCGCCGUCGAGUAUUUUACCAAGUGGAUCGAGGCAAGGGUAGUAUCCACAGUAACGUCGAAGACUGACCAGAAAUUCUUCUGGCAAAACAUUGUUUGCCGGUUCGGAGUCCCAUCCAAGCUCACAGUCGACAAUGGCAAACAGUUUGACAGACAGGACUUCAGGGACUUCUGCUUCUCCAUCGGCACCAAGCUUGCCUUCGCCUCAGUAUAUCACCCGCAAUCUAACGGUGUCGUUGAGCGCGCCAACGGCAAGAUUUUCACUGCUAUCAAGAAAAGGCUACUCGACGACAGCAAGGGUAAAUGGGCCGACCAUCUACCUGAAGCAGUCUGGGCGCUAAACACAACCGAAUGCCGAGCGACUAGAUUCACUCCUUUUCGUCUACUGUAUGGAUCGGAGGCCAUGGCCCCGCAGGAAAUAAAGCACGGGUCACAUCGAACAAGUGCAUCAGCCAUCCCCGACAUAGACGAGCCAACGUUCAAAGACCUCAUCGACGGAGACCACGUCUUCGCCCUACAGGCCCUCAACAAAUACCAAGCUCAAACGAAGGCCUAGCACGACCACGCAGUCGUCCCAAGAGAAUUCAACGAAGGAGACCUCGUACUUGUCCGAACCACCCGGAUAGAGUCACGGGGCAAGCUGGAGCCAAAGUGGGAGAAUCCUUUCAUCGUCAAGUCGAAGGCGUCCCCCAGUGCUUACAGGCUAACAACGCCAUCCGACAAAGACCUAGACCACUCUUGGAAUAUUGACAAUCUCCACAAAUUUUUUGUGUAAAUCCUCAGGGCCUACGCGCCCUUGUAAUUCACCAAACAGUACUACUCCGGCCCGUACUCUUUUCCUCCCGGGGGUGAGGUUUUUAACGAGGCGGAGCCAUGUAAUAUACCUGCAAAAAUCCCCCGCAAAAACUCAGAUACAACAUGUCGAAAAAGACCGCAUCGAUGGUCUUCGGCAUUCGACCACUCCGAAGUCACCGCGAGAGGCAGCGCGGAUUACCCUCGCGUGCGACACUCCGCGCAAAAGUCGCUAAGGGUGCAGCUGGAAUAGCACAAUAAGUGUGCAUAAUCGAAGUCUUUUCCAAAUGACUCUACAUGCAAAAGUCGCCUAAGGGUGCAGCCGGAAUAGCGAUAAUCGAAGUCUUUUCCUAAAAGACUCUCCAUGCAAAAGUCGCCUAAGGGUGCAGCUGGAAUAGCGAUAAACAAAGUCUUUUCCAAAAAACUCUCCGUGCAAAAGUCGCCUAAGGGUGCAGCUGGAAUAGCACAAUAAGUGCGCAAAAUCGAAGUCUUUUCCUAAAAGACUCUCCGUGUAGAAGUCGCCUAAGGGUGCAGCCAGAACAACACAAUAAGUGCGCAAAUAACGAAGUCUUUUCCAAAAGACUCUCCAUACAGAAGUCGCCUACGGGUGCAGCCAGAUCAACGAAGGCGCGCAGCCUCAUCAUACAAAUUACAGUUACAUACACAUAGCGAGGGCACCAUAUACUACAUUGGCUCAACCUUCGGAAUGAUACCCAUCUCCCUAUAAUUGAAUAACAUUAUCCUCAAUUCCUCACCCUCAAAAAGAUUUCGCAGCUCCCCUUCACCUAUGCUCGCCCCAAUCGGCGAGGAUAGCAAUUCUUGCCUACCAGUCCGGUCCACGCGAAGACGACCACGCUCCAUCCCAAUACGAUGACCACUUCGCGAUGAUUCACUAACUCUCCGUUUCGCCACCGCCCUUCACCGCCUAUACCCAGUACUCGCACCCGGGAGCCCCCGGAACCCUCCACGCGCGGCGAAGGCUCCACUGCAGCCACAUCUAAUGCCGCAAAAUAAUCCAAGCCUUCAUCCGAGGACUCCUCCGUCCAUGAAAUCGAACUCCCAGAAUCAUCAGACUCAAAACACUUAGACACAGAGCCACAUGAAUCACCAUCGGUAGACACCACGAUUGAGGCCGCCACAAAAAUAGUAUUGUCAGUAGCGGUUGCGUUCGCAGGCCCAAACGUCGAAACCUACGCAGCAACCGAGGUUCAGUAUCACAUAGAAAAUUUACACUUAAACUCCCCAACACCUAUUCAGCCACCUGCGUGGGCCCUGCCACGGCCGUGGGGUCUUCGGCAGCCGGUUCGACCAUCGUCUUCGGGGCGUUCUCGCCCGUUGGCGCGGGGGCUGGCGCGGGGUCUUCGCCAUCUCCAGUCGGUGCGGGGGUCGACGAGGGGCCCUUUCCCGCAUCAGACGGCGGCGCCAGCUCCACCCCGAGGCUUCCGGCAGCGAGGCCUUGGGCAGCGUGCUGUCUAGGUCACCAAGGUCUUCAACCUCCUCGUCACGCGCCAUCUGCAGCAAUAGCUCACUCAUUCAGCAAAACCACACAUACCUACACAUAUAACCACAUAAAAUGAUCCCUUACCUGAUCCAUUGCCCGGUCGGACCUCUCCCAGACCGUCUCUCGACCGUGAGGACCCCACAUCCUAUCGAAGAGAGCCCUCGCCGACCGCUUAAGCACCAGGUCCUUGACCUGGAAGAUUUUGCGUUCGAAGCCUUCGUCGAACUAGUCGAAGACCUCGAAAUGCCCGCACCCCUCGCGGGACAAAGCAUUCACGGCCCCCUCAUAGGUGACGAGGGAGGCGAAGGACAUGACGAUUGUUGGCAGGACCACCAGCUCCUCUUGCAGCCACUCAAGGAAACGGAGGCCCACCUCUUCGCUGGGCGCUUCGAAGGGGGCGGUCCGCGCACCCAGCUCCCGGUACGCAUCCACGAGCUGCGCGUGCGUCCGCUCAACCUCCACGCGCGUCGAGGUCUCGGCUUUAUCCACGCGGCUGCGAAGGCCGCCGAGCUGCGCUUCCAGCUCCUCGGUGCAUUUGCGGGCGAGACUGGCCUCCACCCACGCAAGUUUAGCGUCGGCUUGAGCAGCCUGCGCGUCGGCGAUGGCCUUAUUCGCGUCCCUCCUCUCCCCCGCCAACUGGCGCCGGAGAUCUCCCUUCUCGGCCUCCAUAGCAGCCAACCUCUUCGUCAUCCUGCGGUUUUUACUUUCCGCAGCCGACUUCUCCCGAACAGCAUCCGCAUGCUGCACACGGAGACGCUCGACUUCGGCAGCAAACUCCGCAGUCAGAGCACCCAACGCGACGUGGUCGGCGAAGUCGGCCGCCUGCCACCACAAACCAUGAGACUCACCACCUCAUAAAAACAACGAACUAUUAAAGUCCAACACGACUUACAUGCUUCAGCUGCUGCGACAACUGCUGCGACGCUUGCCUCAGUUGCCGGGACAUAAAGCCUGCCACGUCCUUAGCCGCGGCGGCCGACGAAAUCGCGUCGCUCGCGCAGAAGGCGGACCACGGGUCCUGCGAAGCACCCUUCACGCCUACUGCCACCGUCGGCGAAGUAGCCACCACCGGAGUCAGGACAACAGCCAGUUGCCCCACAUCCAACCCUGCACCACGAUCUUGGUUACGACCUAGUCCAAAAAAAACUUACCACCAAGAUAAUCUCCGACGCAGAUAUCUGUGUCGAAAUCGGCAACACGCGUCGCCGCCUCGUCAGUACGCGACGGCGAGGGCAACUUUUGCCCCUUCGCCGGCUCACCAACGGGUGGCUUGCCCGCGCCAGAAGCAGCAGUCUUCGCACCUGCCGAAGAUUUCCUGGUCCCAGGGGCGGCUGGCUUCGCGGUCGGUGCUGGUUUGCUGCUGCCGGCGGCGGCAGACUUCACGCCCCCUCGUGCUUUCUUUGCCUGACGGAAAGGAUCCCCGAUCCUAACGACCGCCCGGCGCUUCGGCAGCGUCUUGACGAUCCUUCUCCAUCACUACCGAUACAACAACAGCAAUAUUCCGUCCGUAAGGAAAAAUCUUCAAGUCAUGAGCCAUACGAGAUGUAAAAAUGUCUUCGCUAACCGCGCGGAGGAUCGGAACAUUCUUUGGCCAUCGACCCUCGGUAACCCUCAGCAUUCACGCCGAAGACUCCCGGAGCUCGUGCGAAGACAUCCUUCCCCUGAGGGCUGCACACGUCCCCAUCAACUCCAUACCAAAACUGAAAGGGAAAUGUGCCCUUGGGCCAUUUCUAAGUAUUUUGGUGGUUUAGUGCCCAACACAAGUGCCUAAGUGUAAAAAGGUGGACAAAGUAGAAAUCAAGGAUAAAGGUAUGUUUCUCAGACUUAGUACAUUGUUUUAUGGACUAAUGUAUUGUGUCUAAGUGCUGGAAACAGGAAAAAUCCAAUUGAAAAUGUCUUGGCUCGAGCAGCCAAGACUCUGCUGAGUCUGGGAGCACCGGACUGUCCGGUGGUGCACCGAACAGUGUCCGGUGCGCCAGACUGACUCGGGCGAACUGGCCGCUCUCGGGAAUUUACCGGCGACAUACGGCUAUAAUUCACCGGACUGUCUGGUGUGCACCGGACUGUCCGGUGAGCCAACGGUCGGCCGGGCCAACGGUCGGCCGCGCGAUCUGCGCGGGACACGUGGCCGAGCCAACGGCUAGAAGGGGGCACCGGACUGUCCGGUGUGCACCGGACAUGUCCGGUGCGCCAACGGCUCUCUGGCGGCCAACGGUCAGCUGCGCCAUUUUAGGAAAGAAAUCGGGCACCAGACAGUGUCCGGUGUGCACCGGACUGUCCGGUGCACCAGUCGACAGAAGGCAAGAUCAGCCUUCCAGAUUUGCUCUCAACGGCUCCUAGCUACCUUGGGGCUAUAAAAGGGACCCCUAGGCGCAUGGAGGAGUACACCAAGCAUUCCUACAACAUUCCUAAGCACCAAGACAUCGAUUCCGCGCAUUUGGUUCAUUGUGAUAGCAUCUAGAGCUCUUGUUGAAUUGUGAACUCAUUGAGUGGUGUUGCGAGCUCUUGUUGCGACUUGUGUGCGUGCUGUUGCUCUGAUUUUGAGUCUUGUGUGCGUUGCUAGUUCCUCUCUUACUCCGUAUUUCUUUGUGAAUCUCAAGUGUAAGGGCGAGAGGCUCCAAGUUGUGGAGAUUCCUCGCAAACGGGAUAUUGAAAGGCAAAGCAAAACACCAUGGUAUUCAAGUUGGUCUUUGGACCUCUUGAGAGGGGUUGAUUGCAACCCUCGUCCGUUGGGACGCCACAAUGUGGAGUAGGCAAGCGUUGGUCUUGGCCGAACCAUGGGAUAAACCACUGUGUCAUCUCUGUGUUUGAUCUCUUGUGGUAUUGUGUUUUGUUGAGACUCCUCUCUAGCCACUUGGCGAUUAUUGUGCUAACACUUAACAAGUUUUUGUGGCUAUAAGUUUAAGUUUUACAGGAUCACCUAUUCACCCCCCCUCUAGGUGCUCUCAAUUGGUAUCAGAGCCGUUCUCUUCACAAAGGGACUAACCGCCCGAAGAGAUGGAUCCUAAAGGGAAGGGAAUCGUGAUCAACGACAAGGAGAAGGAGUCCUUCGUCAACGAGCCAAGGGAUGACAAGUCCAACGACUCGGGCUCGGGCCACAGACGCAAAGAUGGGAAGAAGAAGAAGACAAGACGCAUCAAGGAGAUCGUCUACUACGACAGCGAUGAGUCUACUUCCUCCCAAAAGGACGACGACCACAACGAAUACGAGAGAAAGAAACCGGUCAAUUCGAACUUUUCUUUUGAUUACUCUCGUAUUCCUCAAAGUACUAAUGCUCAUUUAUUAUCUAUUCCACUUGGUAAACCUCCUCAUUUUGAUGGAGAGGACUACGGAUUUUGGAGUCACAAAAUGCGUAGUCACUUGUUCUCUCUCCAUCCUAGCAUAUGGGAGAUUGUAGAAAGUGGAAUGCACUUUGAUAGUACGGAUAGUCCCAUGUUUAUUAAUGAACAGAUUCAUAAAAAUGCACAAGCUACUACUGUGUUGCUAGCCUCUUUGUGCAGGGACGAGUACCAUAAGGUGAGCGGCUUGGACAAUGCCAAGCAGAUCUGGGACACCCUCAAGAUCUCUCAUGAGGGGAAUGAUGUCACCUUGCUCACCAAGAUGGAGUUGGUGGAGGGCGAGCUUGGACGGUUCACAAUGAUAAGGGGCGAGGAACCAACUCAAACAUACAACCGGCUCAAGACCCUUAUCAACAAAAUAAGGAGCUACGGAAGCACGCGAUGGACGGAUCACGACGUCGUCCGCCUAAUGCUAAGGUCCUUUACCGUUCUUGAUCCUCAUUUGGUGAACAAUAUUCGUGAAAAUCCUAGGUACACCAAGAUGUCGCCCGAAGAAGUUCUGGGGAAGUUUGUAAGCGGGCGAAUGAUGAUCAAGGAGGCAAGAUAUGUGGACGACGCGUUGAACGGUCCUAUUCAUGAGCCUCAACCCAUUGCUCUCAAGGCAACGAGGAGCAAGGAGGUGCUAUCGAGCAAGGUGGCGCAAGUUGAGGCGGCCGGGCUAAAUAAUGAGGAGAUGGCCCUCAUCAUUAAGCGCUUCAAGACGGCGCUUAAAGGUCGCAAGGGACAGCCAAGCAAGACCAAGACAAAGGAGAAGCGCUCGUGCUUCAAAUGUGGAAGAUUGGUCAUUUCAUUGCUAACUGUCCCGAUAAUGAAAGUGACCAGGAAAAGGGGAACAAAAGGGAGAAGAAGAAGCAUUACAAGAAGGCCAAGGGUGAGGCACAUAUCGGAAAGGAGUGGGAUUCAGAUUGCUUCUCCUCCGACUCCGACAAUGAAGGACUCGCCGCCACCGCCUUCAACAAGUCAUCCCUCUUCCCCAACGAGCGUCACACUUGCCUCAUGGCAAGGGAGAAGAAAGUAAGCACUCAUGAUACUAGUACUUAUGCUUCUUCAAGUGAGGAUGAGUCUAGUGAUGAUGAUGAGAUAGAUUACUCAUGCUUAUUCAAGGGAUUAGAUAGAUCUAAAAUUAAUAAGAUUAAUGAGUUGAUUGAUGCUUUGAAUGACAAGAAUAGAUUACUAGAAAAACAAGAGGAUCUUUUAUAUGAGGAGCAUGAUAAAUUUGUUAGUGCACAAAAUUCUCUUGCUCUAGAAAUUAAAAGGAAUGAAAUGCUCUCUACUAAAUUAUCUACUUGUCAUGAAUCCAUCUCUAAAUUAAAAAGUGUUAAUGAUGAUUUGAAUGCUAAGUUAGAAAUAGCUAGUAAAUCAACAUCUUGUGUAGAAAUUGUUGAAACUUGCAAUAGGUGCAAAGAUUUUGACAUUGAUGCUUGUAGUGAACACCUAGUUUCAAUUUCCAAACUUAAUGAUGAAUUGGCUAGUCUUAAUGCUCAACUUAAGACUAGCAAGAGUAAUUUUGAUAAGCUAAAAUUUGCAAGGGAUGCCUACACAAUUGGUAGACACCCCUCAAUUAAGGAUGGACUUGGCUACAAGAAGGAAGCCAAGAACUUGACAAGCCAUAAGGCUCCCAUCUCCGCCAAGGAGAAAGGGAAGGCCCCUAUGGCUAGUAGUGUGCAAAAGAACCAUGCCUUUAUGUACCAUGAUAGGAGACAAUAUAGAAAUGCUUAUAGGAGAUGUAACGCAUAUGAUGCUUUUGAUUCUCAUGACAUGUUUGCUUCUAGUUCUUCUUAUGUGCAUGAUAGAAAUGUUGGUAGGAGAAAUGUUGUUCAUAAUAUGCCUAGGAGAAAUGUUGUUAAUGUUCCUAGGAAAGUAAUGAAUGAACCCUCUACAAUUUAUCAUGCUUUAAAUGCUUCCUUUGCUAUUUGUAGAAAGGAUAGGAAAAUAGUUGCUAGGAAGUUAGGGGCAAAAUGCAAGGGAGACAAAACUUGCAUUUGGGUCCCUAAGAAUAUUUGCACUAACCUUGUAGGACCCAACAUGAGUUGGGUACCUAAGACCCAAGCCUAAAUUUGCCUUGCAGGUUUAUGCAUCCGGGGGUUCAAGCUGGAUUAUCGACAGCGGAUGCACAAACCAUAUGACGGGGGAGAAGAAGAUGUUUACCUCCUACGUCAAGAAUAAGGAUUCCCAAGAUUCAAUUAUAUUCGGUGAUGGGAAUCAAGGCAAGGUAAAAGGGUUAGGUAAAAUUGCAAUUUCUAAUGAGCACUCUAUCUCCAAUGUGUUUUUAGUUGAGUCUCUUGGUUACAAUUUGCUAUCUGUUAGUCAACUAUGCAAUAUGGGAUAUAAUUAUCUUUUUACAAAUGUAGAUGUGUAUGUCUUUAGAAGAAGUGAUGGUUCACUAGCCUUUAAGGGUGUAUUAGACGGCAAGCUUUACUUAGUUGAUUUUGCAAAAGAAGAGGCCGGUCUAGAUGCAUGCUUAAUUGCUAAGACUAGCAUGGGCUGGUUGUGGCAUCGCCGCUUAGCACAUGUGGGGAUGAAGAACCUUCACAAGCUUCUAAAGGGAGAACACGUGAUAGGUUUGACUAACGUGCAAUUCGAAAAAGAUAGACCUUGUGCAGCUUGUCAAGCAGGUAAACAAGUGGGAGGAGCGCAUCACAGCAAGAAUGUGAUGACCACUUCAAGACCCCUGGAGCUACUACAUAUGGACCUCUUCGGACCCGUCGCCUAUCUAAGCAUAGGAGGAAGUAAGUAUGGUCUAGUUAUUGUUGAUGACUUUUCCCGCUUCACUUGGGUAUACUUUUUGCAGGAUAAAUCUGAAACCCAAGGGACCCUCAAACGCUUCCUCAGGAGAGCUCAAAAUGAGUUUGAACUCAAGGUGAAGAAGAUAAGGAGCGACAACGGGUCCGAGUUCAAGAACCUUCAAGUGGAGGAGUUCCUUGAGGAGGAAGGGAUCAAGCACGAGUUCUCCGCUCCCUACACACCACAGCAAAAUGGUGUGGUAGAGAGGAAGAAUAGGACGCUAAUCGAUAUGGCAAGGACGAUGCUUGGAGAAUUCAAGACCCCCGAGCGUUUUUGGUCAGAAGCCGUGAACACGGCUUGCCACGCCAUCAACAGGGUCUACCUUCAUCGCCUCCUCAAGAAGACUUCGUAUGAGCUACUAACCGGUAACAAACCCAAUGUAUCUUACUUUCGUGUAUUUGGGAGCAAGUGCUACAUUCUAGUAAAGAAGGGUAGAAAUUCUAAAUUUGCUCCCAAAGCUGUAGAAGGGUUUUUGUUAGGUUAUGACUCAAAUACAAAGGCGUAUAGAGUCUUCAACAAAUCAUCGGGUUUGGUUGAAGUCUCUAGCGACGUUGUAUUUGAUGAGACUAAUGGCUCUCCAAGAGAGCAAGUUGUUGAUCUUGAUGAUGUAGAUGAAGAAGACGUUCCAACGGCCGCUAUGCGCACCAUGGCGAUUGGUGAUGUGCGACCACAGAAACAAUUGGAGCAAGAUCAACCUUCUUCCUCAACAAUGGUGCAUCCCCUAACUCAAAACGAUGAACAGGUUCAUCGAGAGGAAUGUGAUCAAGGGGGAGCACAAGAUGAUCAUGUGAUGGAGGAAGAAGCACAACCGGCACCUCCAACCCAAGUUCGAGCGAUGAUUCAAAGGGAUCAUCUCGUCGACCAAAUUCUGGGUGACAUUAGCAAGGGAGUAACUACUCGAUCUCGAUUAGUUAAUUUUUGUGAGCAUUACUCCUUUGUCUCUUCUAUUGAGCCUUUCAGGGUAGAGGAGGCCUUGCUAGAUCCGGACUGGGUAUUGGCCAUGAAGGAGGAGCUCAACAACUUCAAGAGAAAUGAAGUUUGGACGCUGGUGCCUCGUCCCAAGCAAAAUGUUGUGGGAACCAAGUGGGUGUUCCGCAACAAACAAGACGAGCACUGGGUGGUGACAAGGAACAAGGCUAGACUUGUGGCAAAAGGUUAUGCCCAAGUCGCAGGUUUGGACUUUGAGGAGACUUUUGCUCCUGUGGCUAGGCUAGAAUCAAUUCGUAUCUUGCUAGCAUAUGCCGCUCACCAUUCCUUCAGGUUGUUCCAAUUGGAUGUGAAGAGCGCUUUCCUCAACGGGCCGAUCAAGGAGGAGGUGUAUGUGGAGCAACCCCUUGGCUUCGAGGAUGAACGGUACCCCAACCACGUGUGUAAGCUCUCUAAGGCGCUCUAUGGACUUAAGCAAGCCCCAAGAGCAUGGUAUGAAUGCCUUAGAGACUUUCUAAUUGUUAAUGCUUUCAAGGUUGGGAAAGCUGAUCCAACUCUUUUUACUAAGACAUGUGAUGGUGAUUUGUUUGUGUGCCAAAUUUAUGUCGAUGACAUAAUAUUUGGUUCUACUAACCAAAAGUCUUGUGAAGAGUUUAGCAGUGUGAUGACUCAGAAAUUCGAGAUGUCGAUGAUGGGCGAGUUGAACUACUUCCUUGGGUUCCAAGUGAAGCAACUCAAGGACGACACCUUCAUCUCCCAAACGAAGUACACGCAAGAUCUGCUAAAGCGGUUUGGGAUGAAGGACGCCAAGCCCGCAAAGACUCCGAUGGGGACCGACGGACACACCGACCUCAACAAAGGAGGUAAGUCCGUUGAUCAAAAAGCAUACCGGUCAAUGAUAGGGUCUUUACUUUAUUUAUGUGCUAGUAGACCGGAUAUAAUGCUUAGCGUAUGCAUGUGUGCUAGAUUUCAAUCCGAUCCUAAGGAGUGUCACUUAGUGGCGGUGAAGCAAAUUCUUAGAUAUUUGGUUGCUACGCCUUGCUUCGGGCUCUGGUAUCCAAAGGGGUCUACCUUUGACUUGGUUGGAUACUCAGAUUCCGACUAUGCUGGAUGUAAGGUCGAUAGGAAGAGUACAUCAGGGACGUGCCAAUUCUUAGGAAGGUCCCUGGUGUCGUGGAACUCUAAGAAACAAACCUCCGUUGCCCUAUCCACCGCUGAGGCCGAGUAUGUUGCCGCAGGACAGUGUUGCGCGCAACUACUUUGGAUGAGGCAAACCCUUCGGGACUUUGGCUACAAUCUGAGCAAAGUCCCACUCCUAUGUGACAAUGAGAGUGCUAUCCGCAUGGCGGAAAAUCCUGUUGAACACAGCCGCACAAAGCACAUUGACAUCCGGCAUCACUUUCUGAGAGACCACCAGCAAAAGGGAGAUAUCGAAGUGUUUCAUGUUAGCACCGAGAACCAGCUAGCCGAUAUCUUUACCAAGCCUCUAGAUGAGAAGACCUUUUGCAGGCUGCGUAGUGAGCUAAAUGUCUUAGAUUCGCGGAACUUGGAUUGAAUUGUAGCAUACAUGUGUUUAUGCCUUUGAUCAUGUUCAUUCUGCAUUGUGUUGCUUAUUAUGGUGCUCAAGUUGUACAAGCACUCCCCGGACCUCACAAGUCCUUGUGCCAGUAAUGCACAUAUUUAGGGGGAGAUGUGUUACAACUUGACCCUUUGAGACUAACCAUAUGCUUGAGUUUGCUUGAUUUAGUCUCGAAGGAGAAUUGAAAGGGAAAAGGUGGACUUGGACCAUGCAAGACUUCCACUACACUCCGAUGAAAAGAGUAACUUUUCCAAGUUCAUCUUUAAACUCUUAUUGCCUAUUUGCUCUUAAUUGAAGAUUUUGGUGAGGCAAUGGGGUUAAAGGGCCAAGAUUGAUCCCGUUUUGGUGCUUGAUGCCAAAGGGGGAGAAAAUAAAGGCCAAAGCAAUAGAUGGAUCAGCUACCACUUGAGAAACUUUGAAAAUAGUAGAAUAGAACUUUUGGUUUGGCAAAACUCUUGCAUUGUCUCUUUUGUCAAAAGUUGGCCUCUUGUGGGGAGAAGUGUUGAUUAUGAAAAAAGGGGAGUUUUUGAAAUCCUUGAUCAAAUUUCUUUGGAAAACCUCUCUUUAUGUCUCUACAAGUGGAUUUGACUUAGAGAUAGGAAUUUGAGUUUGAUUUGCAAAAACAAACCAAGUGGUGGCAUAGAGUGAUCCAUAUAUGUCAAAUUUGAAUCAAAACAAUUUGAGUUCUUAUUUGAAUUGAUUUUGUAUUUGUUCUACUUGCUUUAUAUUGUGUUGGCAUAAAUCACCAAAAAGGGGGAGAUUGAAAGGGAAAUGUGCCCUUGGGCCAUUUCUAAGUAUUUUGGUGGUUUAGUGCCCAACACAAGUGCCUAAGUGUAAAAAGGUGGACAAAGUACAAAUCACGGAUAAAGGUAUGUUUCUCAGACUUAGUACAUUGUUUUAUGGACUAAUGUAUUGUGUCUAAGUGCUGGAAACAGGAAAAAUCCAAUUGAAAAUGUCUUGGCUCGAGCAGCCAAGACUCUGCUGAGUCUGGGAGCACUGGACUGUCCGGUGGUGCACCGGACAGUGUCCGGUGCGCCAGACUGACUCGGGCGAACUGGCCGCUCUCGGGAAUUUACCGGCGACAUACGACUAUAAUUCACCGGACUGUCCGGUGUGCACCGGACUGUCCGGUGAGCCAACGGUCGGCCGGGCCAACGGUCGGCCGCGCGAUCUGCGCGGGACACGUGGCCGAGCCAACGGCUAGAAGGGGGCACCGGACUGUCCGGUGUGCACCGGACAUGUCCGGUGCGCCAACGGCUCUCUGGCGGCCAACGGUCAGCUGCGCCGUUUUAGGAAAGAAAUCGGGCACCGGACAGUGUCCGGUGUGCACCGGACUGUCCGGUGCACCAGUCGACAGAAGGCAAGAUCAGCCUUCCAGAUUUGCUCUCAACGGCUCCUAGCUGCCUUGGGGCUAUAAAAGGGACCCCUAGGCGCAUGGAGGAGUACACCAAGCAUUCCUACAACAUUCCUAAGCACCAAGACAUCGAUUCCGCGCAUUUGGUUCAUUGUGAUAGCAUCUAGAGCUCUUGUUGAAUUGUGAACUCAUUGAGUGGUGUUGCGAGCUCUUGUUGCGACUUGUGUGCGUGCUGUUGCUCUGAUUUUGAGUCUUGUGUGCGUUGCUAGUUCCUCUCUUACUCCGUAUUUCUUUGUGAAUCUCAAGUGUAAGGGCGAGAGGCUCCAAGUUGUGGAGAUUCCUCGCAAACGGGAUAUUGAAAGGCAAAGCAAAACACCGUGGUAUUCAAGUUGGUCUUUGGACCGCUUGAGAGGGGUUGAUUGCAACCCUCGUCCGUUGGGACGCCACAACGUGGAGUAGGCAAGCGUUGGUCUUGGCCGAACCACGGGAUAAACCACUGUGUCAUCUCUGUGUUUGAUCUCUUAUGGUAUUGUGUUUUGUUGAGACUCCUCUCUAGCCACUUGGCGAUUAUUGUGCUAACACUUAACAAGUUUUUGUGGCUAUAAGUUUAAGUUUUACAGGAUCACCUAUUCACCCCCCCUCUAGGUGCUCUCAAAAACUAUCAGAGACUCCAAGUCCCCCCACUACAGUACUUAUUUUCCUCUUCUUAGUUCCUGGGGCAGCCUCCUGCGAGGGGCCUUCAUCAGUCAUGGCCAUUGGUCUCUUCCCGCGGCGGUCGACGACCACGGCAGCGUCAUCCCCGAAAUAACCGCCGUACGGCAAACGAUUCAACUCGAAAACCCUAUUCAGGCGGACGUUGGAUCCAUGGAUAUCCCAACUCCGCAGAGCCUCAGUCCUCGGCACAUAACGCCCCACAAUCCGCACUGCCCCGUCUUCCACUUCACGCACGAAUGCGGCUGGAUCCCGGCCACACAAAUCCAACACGAAGGCCGGACUUCACACUAGCUGCUUGCCCAGUGAGGGCAUCUGGCGAGGGCAUACUUCGCCUAACGCCCAGCCAUGCGCCAAGGGCCAUACUCCAUAACCGAUGAAUUCCUCAACUAAAUCAUGCCUGCUACUCAUGCGGGCAGCACAACGAAGGGCCUCUUCGUCACUAUCAUCCUCCACCACCUCAAACGACGGGAACGCCACACAGCAGUGGGAGCACAACACGACUGCCGGGAGUCCAGGGAGGUCUUCGACCUCGCCUACCGCCACAUAAAACCAAUAAUCAUACCAGUUGCCCCACUUGUUGCGGGCGUAGGGAACUAACUCAACAACUUCUGCCGCUGAUUCCUAGUCCUCGGCGUAAAGGUGCAUGACCCAAACUGUGCAAUCUUGCUUCCAAUUUUUCUCUUCUGCCAGUGCAAACAGUAAUUCUUGGCGAAGAACUCUACGGAGGGCUGACCGCUGUACGAAGUCACUGCCCAGACAUACUUCGCUAGGGCCACCACAACAUUAGGUGUCAAUUGAUGGAUCUGCACGUCAUACCUCCGCAACACUUCCACCACAAAACAAUGUGCAGGCAACCGAAGGCCGGCAGUGAAAAAUGCCUCGAACACAACCAUCUCACCCUCCGACUCAGGAAUCUCUUCCACCCCCAGAACUCGGCCAACUCCAUUCCCAAAAUACCCCAACCGGUGCAUGUCUUGCACACGAACCGAGGAGAUCCUCGAAACACCGAAUUCCACCGUGUGGCCCGGGUGUAGCUCCACUGCCGCCAAAUCACUGAAGGUACCCUCGGACGACGAUUCGCCCAACAGCGUAGUCGCAACGGAUGAAGAAGAAGACGGCAUGGCUACGUACCGUCGGCUGCGGCGCGCGGUCUGCUUGACGCGGGCCAGUUCUCCGGUGAACAGGAGCAAGGAGGGCAGGCGAGCGGGCGGUCGGUUUCAAAAUGCUAGGGUUUUGCGGCGCACAGAAAGGUAAUAGAGCCUGAGCCGUGCCACCCCCUUUUUAUACAAGGGCGCGACGCCUCGGGAAGCCCGCAGUCCAAAAGUACCGCGUCCGUCAACGGUCACAUCAAAAACCCCCGCGGAACCACUUCGAGCGAGGGCAGUGUCUCCACCAUCUAGCGACGUCUUCAGCACCAGAUGACUCAGUCGAACUAGUCCCUCGGAGGGCAAAUGUUGGGGCAAAGCCGAAGACGCUACCCUUCGCUCCAGGCCUUCGUCAACUCGCUGCACCGACGGAGGCAAGAUGACCAGCGCAGCCCACCCUUCGUCCUCUUCACUGCAAGACGAAGGCCUACGACGAAGUCUCUCCAUCCUGCGUCCUCGGUCCUACCUGGAGGCCCACGUGGGAUUCGGCCCAUCGUAACAGGCCCCGCACGGACAGGCGUGUUACAGACCUGAUUUGUAAUAGCUUUUCUGUAAUGACAGUUUGUAACCCUCCUUUAUGAGAAUAUUCUGGGGAUAAUCCAGGUGUCUGAGGGCAUAAGCGUCCUUACAUCGGAACGUUGGGCGCUCGGGCACCUAUAAAUAGCCCCGUACAAUACCCUUGAGAGGCUGGAUUAACAGAGCAAUCGCCAUCUCGAGUAAAACCUUACUUGCAUCCUUUCCACUCCCCCAUUGGAUCAACUUGCCCAGGAGUGCAAGUUCCAACAAUUAGUCUUAGCCUUGGCACAAGAAGAAUAAGAAAUAUGUAUAUGUACCAAAUGAAAGAGAUAUGAUCAAAGGUAUAUAAAUGAGCUAUGUGUGCAAUAUUUCAAUCAAAAUUCUGAGAAUCAAGAAUAUUUAGCUCAUUCCUAAGUUUGCUAAAGGUUUUCUCAUCUAGUGGCUUGGUAAAGAUAUUAGCUAAUUGGUCUUUGGUGUUAACAUAAGCUAUUUCGAUAUCCCCUUUUGUUGGUGAUCUCUCAGAAAGUGAUACCGAAUGUCUAUGUGCUUAGUGCGGCUGUGUUCAAUGAGAUUGUCCGCCAUGCAGAUUGCACUCUCAUUAUCACAUAGGAGAGGGACUUUGCUCAAUUUGUAACCAUAGUCAGUGAGGGUUUGCCUCAUCCAAAGUAAUUGCGCACAACAAUGUCCUGCGGCAAUAUACUUGGCUUCGGUGGUAGAAAGAGCUACUGAGUUUUGUUUCUUUGAAGCCCAAGACACCAGGGAUCUCUCCAAAAACUGACAAGUCUCUUAUGUGCUCUUCCUAUCAAUUUUACACCCUGCCCAAUUGGCAUCGGAAUAUCCUAUUAAAUCAAAAGUGGAUCCCUUGGGGUGCCAAAGCCCAAACUUAGGAGUGUAAACUAAGUAUGUCAUGAUUCUCUUCACGACCCUAAGGUGAACUUCCUUAGGAUCGGCUUGGAACCUUGCACACAUGCAUACGGAAAGCAUAAUAUCCGGUUGAGAUGCACAUAAAUAGAGUAAAGAUCCUAUCAUCGACCGGUAUACCUUUUGAUCUACGGAUUUACCUCCCGUGUCGAGGUCGAGAUGCCCAUUGGUUCCCAUGGGUGUCUUGAUGAGUUUAGCAUCCUUCAUUCCAAACUUUUUAAGAAUGUCUUGAAUGUACUUGGUUUUGCUGAUGAAGGUGCCAUCCUGGAGUUGCUUGAUUUGAAAUCCUAAGAAAUAUCUCAACUCCCCCAUAUUGAUAUCUCGAAUUUUUGUACCAUGAUCCUACUUAACUCUUCACAAGUAGAUUUGUUAGUAGACCCAAAUAUAAUAUCAUCAACAUAAAUUUGGCAUACAAAUAAAUCAUUUGCAACAGUUUUAGUAAAGAGAGUAGGAUCGACCUUGUCGACUUUGAAGCAAUUAGUGAUUAGAAAAUCUCAUAGGCAUUCAUACCAUGCUCUUGGGGCUUGCUUGAGCCCAUAAAGCGCCUUUGAGAGUUUAUAGACAUGGUUAGGGUACUCACUAUCUUCAAAGCCGAGAGGUUGCUCAACAUAGACCUCUUCCUUGAUUGGUCCAUUGAGGAAGGCACUUUUCACGUCCAUUUGAUAGAGCUUAAAGCCAUGGUAAGUAGCAUAGGCAAGUAAUAUGCGAAUUGACUCAAGCCUAGCUACGGGUGCAUAGGUUUCAUCGAAAUCCAAACCUUUGACUUGUGAAUAACCCUUGGCCACAAGUCGAGCUUUGUUCCUUGUCACCACACCAUGCUCAUCUUGCUUGUUGUAGACUACCCAUUUGGUACCUACAACAUUUUGAUUAGGACAUGGAACUAAAUUCCAUGCCUUAUUCCUCGUGAAGUUGUUGAGCUCCUCUUGCAUAGCCACCACCCAAUCCGAAUCUCUUAAUGCAUCCUCUACCCUGUAUGGCUUAAUAGAGGAAACAAAAGAGUAAUGUUCACAGAAAUGAGCAACACGAGAUCUAGUUGUUACCCCCUUAUGAAUGUCACCAAGGAUGGAGUUGACGGGGUGAUCUCGUUGAAUUGCUUGGUGGACUCUCGGGUGUGGCGGUCUUUGACCCUGUAUCUCUUGAGCAUCUUCCUUGUCUUCAAUUUCUUCAUCUCCCCCUUGAUCAUUGCCCUCCUCUUGAGGUUGCUCAUCCUCUUUAUCUUCUUCUUCAUUAUUUUGAUCCUUAUCCUCAUCUUGGGUUGGUGGAGAUGCUUGAUUGAAAAAUGAUGGUUGAUCUUGUGCUUGUGGAGGCUCUUUGGAUUCCUUAGGACACACAUCCUCAAUGGACAUGUUCCUUAGCGUGAUGCACGGAGCCUCUUCAUCAUCUAGUUCAUCAAGAUCAACUUGCUCUACUUGAGACCCGUUAGUCUCAUCAAACACAAUGUCACAAGAAACUUCAACUAAUCCAGUGGAUUUGUUGAAGACUCCAUAUGCCCUUGUGUUUGAGUCAUAACCUAGUAAAAAACCUUCUAUAGCCUUAGGAGCAAAUUUAGAUUUUCUACCUCUUUUAACAAGAAUAAAACAUUUACUCCCAAAGGCUCUAAAAUAUGAAACAUUGGGCUUUUUACCGGUAAGGAGUUCGUAUAAUGUUUUCUUGAGGAUUCGGUGAAGGUAGAGCCGGUUGAUGGAGUAGCAAGCAGUGUUGAUUGCUUCUGCCCAAAACUGGUCCAGUGUCUUGUAUUCAUCAAGCAUGGUCCUUGCCAUGUCCAGUAGAGUUCUAUUCUUCCUCUCCACUACACCAUAUUGUUGAGGUGUGUAGGGAGAAGAGAACUCAUGCUUGAUGCCCUCAUCCUCAAGAAAUCCUUCUAUUUGUGAAUUCUUGAACUCCGUCCCAUUGUCGCUUCUAAUCUUUUUGAUCCUCAAUCCAAACUCAUUUUGAGUCCACCUCUAGAAUCCUUUUAAGGUCUCUUGGGUCUGUGAUUUUUCCUACAAAAAGAAUACCCAAGUGAAGCGAGAAUAAUCAUCCACAAUUACUAGACAGUACUUACUCCUGCCGAUGCUUAUGUAAGCUAUCGGGCCGAAUAGAUCCAUGUGGAGUAGCUCUAGUGGCCUGUCCGUUGUCAUUAUGUGCAUGUGUGGAUGAUGAGCGCCAACUUGCUUUCCUGCUUGACAUGCGCUACAAAUGCUGUCUUUCUCAAAAUGAACAUUUGUUAGUCCCAAAAUGUGUUCUCCCUUUAGAAGCUUGUGAAGAUUCUUCAUUCCAACAUGGGCUAGUCGACGAUGCCAGAGCCAACCCAUAUUAGUCUUAGCAAUUAAGCAAGUGUUGAGUUCAGCUAUGUUCUCAUUAAAAUCAACUAAAUAUAGCUGACCCUCUAACAUUACUUUAAAUGCUAUUGGAUCAUCACUUCUUCUAAAGACAGUAACACCUAUAUCACUAAAAAGACAGUUGUAACCCAUUUUGCAUAAUUGAGAAACUGAAAGCAAGUUAUAAUCUAAUGAGUGUACAAGAAAAACAUUAGAAAUAGAAUGGUCAGGUGAUAUAACUAUUUUACCCAAUCCUUUGACCAAACCUUGAUUUCCAUCCCCGAAUGUGAUAGCUCGUUGGGGAUCUUCGUUUUUCUCAUAGGAGGAGAACAUUCUCUUCUCCUCUGUCAUGUGGUUUGUGCAUUCGCUAUCAAUUAUCUAGCUUGAGCCCCCAGAUGCAUAAACCUACAAAACAAUUUAGGCCUUGUUCUUAGGUAUCCAAACAGUCUUGGGUCCUUUCACGUUAGAAACAAGCACCUUGGGUACCCAAACACAAGUCUUAGGACUCUUGUGUUUGCCCCAACGAAUUUGGCAACUAUUUUGCCCCAACAUAAGAAGCAUCAAAAGUUUUAAAUGAAAUGUUAUGAUCAUUUGAUGCAGCAGGAGUUUUCUUUUUAGGCAUUUUAACAUGAGUACAAUGCCUAGAGCUAGAAGCCUCAUUUUUAUAUGUAAAUGCAUGGUGAGAAACAUUAUGAGGUUUUCUAGCAUGAAUCCUCCUAUUUUUGUGCUCAAGAUAAUUAGCGAGAUAUAAAAUGUAGCCCUCAUUAUUCUAAACCAUGGAUGCCUUGCCCUUAACAAAAUUUGACAGCUUCUUAGGGGCAAUGAGCUUGACAUUGCUUCCAUGUUGGAAACCAAUGCCAUCCUUAAUGCCAGGGCGUCUCCCAUUAUAGAGCAUGCUUCUAGCAAAUUUAAAUUUUUCAUUUUCAAGUUCAUGCUCAUUAAUUUUAGCAGUUAAUUGAGCUAUAUGAUUAUUUUGUUGUUUAAUUAGAGCAAGGUGGUCAUUUAUAGCAUCAAUAUUAACAUCUCUACAUCUAGUGCAAAUAGAAACAUUUUCAACAAUCGAUGUAGAAGGUUUGCAAACAUUUAAUUCUUCUAUCUUAGCAUGUAAUAUGUCAUUCUCAUCUCUAAGACAUGAAAUAGAAUCAUUGCAAACAUUUAAAUCUUUAAUCUUAGAAACAAAAUCAUCAUUUUCAGUUCUAAGACUAGAAAUUGCAUCAUUCAAUUUAUCAAUCUUAGCAUUUAGACUAGCAUUAUCAUUUCUAAGACAGAUAAUUGAAUCAUUGCAAGUGCUAAGCUCCUUAGUCAAGUUUUCAUUUUUCUCUACUUCCUGAGCAUAAGCAUUUUUUUACUUUAACAUGCUUUUUGUUUUCUUUAAUAAGGAAUUCCUCUUGGUUGUCCAAGAGUUCAUCCUUCUCAUGAAUGGCUCCUAUCAAUUCAUGCAAUUUUUCUUUUUGUUCCAUGUUGAGGUUAGCAAAAAGAGUAAGUAAAUCAUCUUCGUCUUCACUAGAACUACCCUCAUCACUAGAUGUUGUAUACUUGGGGGUGGUUCUAGAUUGUACCUUCUUCUUUUUGCCGUCCUUGGCCAUGAAACAUUUGUGGCUGACGUUGGGGAAGAGGAGGCCCUUGUUGACGGCGAUGUUGGCGGCGUCCUCAUCGGAGGAGGAGUCGGUGGAGCUCUCAUCGGAGUCCCAUUCCCGACACACGUGGGCAUCGCCGCCCUUCUUCUUGUAGUACCUUUUCUUUUCUUUCUUCGUCCCCUUCUUGUCAUCGCCCCUAUUACUAUCACUAGACAUUGGACAUUUAGCAAUAAAAUGACCGGGCUUACCACACUUGUAGCACACCCUCUUGGAGCGGGGUUUGUAGUCUUUCCCCCUCAUUUGCUUGAGGAUUUGGCGGAAGCUCUUGAUGAUGAGCGCCAUCCCCUCAUUGUCGAGCUUGGAGGCGUCGAUGGGAAGCCUACUUGGUGUAGACUCCUUUUCUUCUUCCAUCGCCUUGAACGCGACGGGUUGCACCUCGGGUGUGGAGGUGGCGCCUUGCUCCAAGUUGACGAUGUGUUUGGAGUCUUUGAUCAAUAGUUCAAAGCUCACAAACUUUCCUAUCACUUCCUUGGGAGACAUUAAUUUGUAUCUAGGAUCUCCACGGUUUAGUUGCACUUGAGUAGGAUUGCGAAAAACAAGAGAUCUUAGAAUAACCUUGACCAUCUCAUGGUCAUCCCAUUUGGUGCUCCUGAGGUUGCGCACUUGGUUCACCAUUGUUUUGAGCCGGUUGUACAUUGCUUGUGGCUCUUCUCCUUGGUUGAGGACGAAUCUGCCGAGCUCCCCCUCGAUCGUCUCUCUUUUGGUGAUCUUGGUCACCUCGUCCCCUUCGUGCGUCGUCUUGAGGACGUCCCAAAUUUCUUUGGCGGUCUUUAAUCCUUGCACCUUAUUAUACUCCUCUCGACACAAGGAGGCGAGGAGUAUAUUUGUGGCUUGGGAGUUAAAGUGCCUAAUUUGGGCGACCUCGUCCGAGUCGUAGUCCUUGUCCCCUCCUUAAGUACCUGCACUCCAAACUCAACAAUAUCCCAAAUGAUUGCAUGGAGUGAGGUUAGGUGAUGCCUCAUCUUAUCACUCCACAUACAAUAAUCCUCACCAUCAAAAUAUGGUGGUUUGCUUAGGGGAACGGAAAGUAACGGAGUGCGCUUAGAAAUGCGAGGAUAGCGGAGGGGCAUCUUACUAUACUUCUUGCGCUCAUGGCGCUUAGAAGUAGUGGACGACGAGACGGAGCCGGAGGUGGAGGGCGACGAUGAGUCGGUCUCAUAGUAGACCACUUUCUUCAUAUUCUUCUUGUCGCUUCUCCGAUGGGUUUUGUUGGAGGAAGAGGAUUCCUCCUUAUGCUUGUGGCCGGAUUCCCUUGAGAGGGUCCUCCCCGAGCUUACGGGCUUGUCGCCGGUCAUGAUCUCCCUCUUGGCAUGAUCUCCCAACAUCACUUCGAGUUGGUAGACUCUAAUGAAGCAUCGGGCUCUGAUACCAAUUGAAAGUCGCCUAGAGGGGGGGUGGAUAGGCGAAACCUGAAAUUUAUAAACUUAAGCACACACUACAAGCCGGGGUUAGCGUUAGAAUUAAAACCGAGUCCAGGAGAUAGGGGAAAACAAAUCAACCAAGAGAUAAAGCGAGUGAACACGGUGAUUUGUUUUACCGAGGUUUGGUUCUCAAAAACCUAGUCCCCAUUGAGGUGGUCACAAAGACCGGGUCUCUUUCAACCAUUUCCCUCUUUCAAACGAUCACUUAGACCGAGUGAGCUUUCUCCUUAAUUCUCACGGGUCACUUAGACCCCGCAAGGACCACCACAUAAUUGGUGUCUCUUACCUUGCUUACAAAACACUUGGGAACAAGAAUGAGGAAGGAAGAAAGCGAUCCAAGCAACAAGAGCGCAAAGAACACGAACAAACUCUCUCUUAAGUCACUAGGUGGUUGGAAGGAAUUCUAGACUUGGAGAGGCUUUGAUCAUUUGGAAAUGUGUCUCGGAGUGAAUGCACUAGCUCUUGUAUUGAAUGUGAAGUGCUGGAAACUUGGAUGCUUGAUCAAGUGGUGGUGGUUGGGGGUAUUUACAGCCCUCAACCACCAAACAACCGUUGGGGCAGUCUGCUGUCGAUGGGCGCACCGGACAGUAUGGUGCGCCACCGGACACUGUCUGGCGCGCCAGCCACGUCACCCAACCGUUAGGGUUCUGGAGCAUUUGACCGUUGGAGGCUUUGUCCUCUAGUGGCACCGGAUAGUCUGGUGCUUUACCGGACAGGUCCUGUUCACUGUCCGGUGCGCCUUUGACUUCUGCUCUGACUUCUACCGCGCACUGUAGCGCACUGUAGCGUUUUGUAGAGUCGACCGUUGCGUGAAGGAGCCGUUGCUCCGCUGGUGCACCGGACAGUUCGGUGGCACAUCGGACAGUCCGGUGAAUUAUAGCGGAGCGUGCCUAGAGAAACCCGAGAGUGGCUAGUUCAUUUUUGUACGGUCCUGGUGCACCGGACACUGUCCGGUGGCACACUGGAUAGUCCAGUGCGCCAGACCAUAGCACACUCAGUUUCUUUGCUCCUUUGUAUUUGAACCCUAUCUUGAAUAUUUAUUGGUUUGUGUUGAACCUUUAUGCACCUGUAGAACAUAUAUUCUAGAGAAAACUAGUUAGUCCAUAUAUUUGUGUUGGGCAUUCAACCACCAAAAUUAAUUGUGGGAAAAGGUUAACCCUAUUUCCCUUUCAAUAUGUUUCAACUAAAAGUUGAGUCAACGUACAUUAAAGAUCUCAUACAAAACUUAAACUAUAUUGCACCAUAGUAUGAAAUAUAUGCCUAAUAUAUAUAAAAUAGGCAACAUAUGUACUAUAAAAACGAUUAUGAUGCUAACAUGCUAACAUCAGAUCUUGUAUAUCAGAUCUACCAUCUUCGGUUGAGUGUAUUCUCACUUGGGGAUGAUGGGCCCUCUUAUAGGAAAACCUUGGGGUUCUUUAGAAAAUAAUUUAAUAAAAGUGGCGUUACACUUAAUCAUAGAUGGUGAAUCUUAUGGACAAAAUUUGACAUUAACAUGCUAUCACCUUAAUCGUUUUUACGCUAGAUAUGUUACCAAUAAAAUAUGGACCAAGCUCACAUUAAAUCUAACAGGUUCUAUAAUAUGCAUCAGAUAUUAUCUCUCGAAUACUUCUUGCUUCACCAUAUUAUUGGACACACCACUACCGGAAUUUAGCUCUUUGCCGAGUACACGGAGCUUUGUCGAGUGCCUUUUGUCGGGCACUCGGUAAAGACUUCUUUACCGAGUGCCACCCUCGGCAAAGGAAGACUCUCGAUAACGACAACCUUUACCGAGGGUAGCACACUCGGCAUAGCCAGAGACUUGGCGAAGGGUGACGCGGCAAAGGACCGUCAGCAGCCGUCUAUAGCUGACGGUCGUUACCUUUGUCGAGUGCCAGGUGCUGACACUCGGCAAAGAUGGUACGUUGCCGAGUGUUGGGCCGGGUGACACUCGGCAAAGCAUACUUUCCCGAGUGCCUUGCUCGGACACUCGGCAAAGUUUGUUUUCAUUUUUUUCUUUUCCCAACCAAACUUUUUGUGGUUUGUUCCUACACCAUGUAGACCUACAUGUUCCAUUUUUGAAACAAUUAUAAAAGUGUUUGCUAUAAAUAUUAUAUUUUGUUCGUUUAAUUGUAUUUCCUCUGUUGUUCCCUCCAGUCGACACUGCUCAGUUCCAUACUCCCGUGAGUAUCAAAUUCUAGUUCUUCAUGAUAUAUAUUCAUCUGGUAUAACACAUGCAAUCUCUUCUCUAUGCAGGGACAAUCUGGGGUGGCAUCCAACAACCCUUAUGGAUCGCCCAGCCCAUCGCCGCACCAGUCCAGCCGCCCACCUCGAUGAGAUAUUAUCUUUGUUAGUGUUGUUAAUACUUUGUGAGAUAACUCGGUCUGAACUUGUUUGAUAUUGGUAAUGCUUUGUGAGAUACUUGAGACUUAUGUUCUUGAGUGUUGAAUACUUAUGUUUGUGUUUGAACAUGUUGGUAAUGCUUUGUGAGCACUUGUUUGAUUUACGGUCUUUGUGAGAU
rnacentral:lncRNA from 1 species